rnacentral:lncRNA from 1 species
UGGCGAGUGAAUGGUGUAUGGUGAUGAUGGUGAUAACAAUGGUGAAAGUCUAAUUCUACUUGUGCUCUUUUGAGGGGAUACAUACCUUUCUUGCACUUUGAAGCUCUUUGAGGAGAAUGAAAUGCUCUACAUUUUCUUUUUCUUUCCUCUCAGGUGGGUAUCUUGUACCCCUAAUCCUACUGUCGGACACUUGUCCAUUUUUACAUCUCGUCUCACUUUUUCUUUUCUUCGAGGUUCCGGGCACUUGCCCCUUUUUAUUUCCUUGUAUCCUUUCUCUUUUUUUAAGAACACUCAUCUCCUAAAAUGUAGCAAGUGGUAGUAACCAAGAUAACUCGAGCAUUUAUUUCACAGGGAAAAACAGAAAUAGGAGAAUAUUUUUGGCUAUUCUCUCCCGAAUAGGAGUAGAAUAAUUUUAGGUGAAUCUAGAGAUGGAAUUGAGUGGAUGUAUGUGGAUGCGUACUUCCAGAGUAGAAGUAGCAUGUAUGAGUGAAUGUGCAAGUGAAUCUUGAUUUUAACCGCAUGACAAGCUCCUAAGGGUCUACACAGCUUGACCACACUCAAUGCUCAUAAGCAGUAAAAAGUAAAUGUGUGGCUCAAAGUCUAGCAAGCAUGUAUAUAUGAGUGUGGUAGGAAUUUAAACUCUCAUCAUACAAGAACUCAUCAUGUGUUAUUUUAAAGAUUUUCAAAGAUAAAAUUCUCCAGAAUUCUAGCAUCUCAAGAAACAGAUAAACAACAGCUCAACCUUCCCAUAUCAUAUCCGUUAACAACUUAGACUUUAGAUCAAGUACUCUUCCCACAAGUUCAGGUUUAGAGCAGGUUUAAAUUAUAACAGUCAUGCCUAAACUUGAGAGAGAGCUCAAACUUGAAAACUAGGUACAUGGUAGAGCAACUAUUUAUCAUAUCCAUGUAAGAGUUUAUCAUUUAUGUUCAGUUUGGCCUAGACACUUUAUUUAUUUAUUUAGCAAACUAAGCAAAGAUAUAUAUAAGCACAAAAUUUUUAUUUGGGUUUUCAUGAUUAUGCAUCUUUUUAUCAUUUGAGUAAAGUAUAAACGCGAGUAGAAACACUUAGCUGGAUAAAUGGGGUGCUCUCCCCCCAAGCUGGAUUUUGACGUAAUUUCUUCUGAUGUAGCUAGCAGGUGACGGAGGUGUAUUUGAAUGUCAGCAGCACCCUGACAGCGAUUAUUAUGUCCUCCGUCGGCUAGUCUUCUUUGAUCCUUGAAUUCUGUGGAGGUCAAAUAGACAACAAAGCUUUGUGGAACUGGUUAAGUGUAAGCAUAAAAUCCCUUACCCUUUAUCAUAUUGAGAUUCCUCGUUAUAAAUUUUAUUUAGCAGGAUCAUGCACUUAUUAUUUUUAUAUUUUUAUUGUAAGAUGCAAACAUAUUUAUUUUAUGCCACCACAGUCAAUAUACCUAUGGGUUUUAAACCACAAGUAUACUCACAUGGGGCUUUAAUUUUAUGAUGCAGUGCAACAAAUAAAUAUUUUUGUUUUCUUUUCUAAUGCUAAUGUGGAAAAGUAAAUAUGCUAAUGCAAGUGAUGGAAUAAAAAAAGGAAAAGGAAUGCGGAAAAGAUAAAUAUGGAUAAAUACCGAUUUUACCUCAGGCAAGGAUCUAAUGUUUUAAGUCUUCUGGACAAGACUUCUCACCGUGUUCAUCCUUUAGGUGCAUCAUUUGAUUAGGUGUGGGCCUUGACAUCUGCACCUCUUGAUACGGUGUCACCCAUGAUCUUCGUUUGUCUAGCAGUUCGAGGUGCGGCAUUGGCAGUAUCUUGCUCAGUGUGUUUGUGCUCGUAGAUCCAAGUCCUUCACUUGGUGGAAUCUGGGAGUUAAAAAAUCCUCCAUGUUUCUCAAAAUGUGUCCUGCUCAUAGAGACAAGGUAGAGAUCAAGUGCACGGCCCUUGUUGGUGAAAAACACCAACAGAACCAAAAGUGUAUUUGUUCUUCUCUAACCUUAAGCAUAGUGAGCAAGACAAAGUUGAUGGAUAAUAAGAUCAUGAGUGUGGCAUUUAAAACAUUUGUCAGAUCAGAUCGCUCGACCUAAUGGAAAGAUAAUCUAUCUAUAUUUAUAUUUUUUAUAUCUUCCAAAGAUUGAAUGUGCAACAUUUUAGCUUAUAUGAUUAGGACUGUGGGAUCACGAAGGUAGUACUAAGUGUUGACGGUUCUUAAGUAUCAAUUUUAAUUAUCAAAUAAACAAGAGAAAGGACCAAUAUGCAACCAUCACCUAGAAUUAGGGUUUGAUCUAACAGAAUUCCACGAGUUUUGUUGUUUAUCUGUUUCUGCAGGGGGUUAUCAGGAAAUAAGGAAGAAAGGCCCACAUGUCGGGAUUACAUAGAGAUAUCAACGCACCGCGCAAUUUUAUAUCAUCUAGAAGACUCCAGAAGCCACGAGACCGAAGCGGAGGCGAAGCUGGGCCAGGCCCAGGGCGCCCGCCCUGGUAGCCUGGGCGCCCGCCCCCCUGUUGGAGCCAAUUCAGGACUCCUUCGCUCGGGAUAUUCCACCGACCUAUUGGAUCAAGAAAAACAUAGUACCACCUCGCCUAUCGACCCAAAAACGCAUAGAAGGGGAGGACUAUAUAAGCAAGGCCCCCCUGGUCCCUGGAGGACAAGAAGAAAUUAUCAUAGAGACUGAGGGGUGCCCUCGAAGGAAAACCUCUUCUCUAAUUAAUAUUUCUUUUUAGGCUUAGCAAUCAAUGUAAGGUAGAAAUAGAUCUUCUAGUUUCUACUAGAUUGAGAGAGAUAGAGUGGAGGUGUAGAGUGGAGGAAGCCCGGCUUGUCGGUGUCUACUCCAAGCUUGUACCUGCGGGAUCAAGUUCUCCUAACCCGAAGCUUGCUCCUAGGAUUCUUCAGUAAUUCGACUUCUAAAUUCUAGUAAGUUCUUGUUUUAUUGUUCUUAUGGUUUAUGAGUUUACUUUAAUCUCUUCGCGUAGAGUUUAGAGUAAUCAUUGCUGGCGUAAACGUGGUGUUUAGGCUGGGGUACUCAUAGAUAUUCCCUGACUAGCUGGACCGUGGUAGUAGUGAGGAACGUGACAUUUCCGAGCUACCUUUGUAGAUCACAUCUCGUUAGCAGGAAGGAUAGGGUUUAUAGGUGUGGGUCGAACAUCCUUUGUGUUGUCUAGAUUCCGUUAGCCUCCCCAUUAGAACAAUAGAUCAUCCUUACCAAGGUUAGAAGGAGACUACGGUUGCAGUCUUCUCUAUUUAUCACUCACAUCGAAAGACAUUCUUUGUGCCUAAAGGUUAGUAGUAAUAGACCGGUUAGUCAGAUGCACUCUUUCUCCUAGUGGUAAAAAAAUAAAUACGAUACUCUGGAUAAUUUCCUGGGUGAAGUGCUCACCGAUAUCCUUGCGCUUGCGGAUCAAUUCCUUAUUGCAUUCCCAAAUAUCAACAAGCAUUUCUGGCGCCGUUGCCGGGGAGAAAGACGGUUUGUGAGAUAACCUGUGUCUUGCUAUUAGCUUGUAUCUAUACUUUUAUCUUUUCUUAUCUUUUAUAUUCUUUAUUUAUUUUUCUUCACUCUUACCUUAUGGAAAACCAAAAUUCUAAAUCGAUCCAUGAGUCUGCAAUCCCUUUAGCAACUGACCUUUUACCAUGGGAAUCAUCACAGCCUAUCCAAACACCCCAGUAUAAGUUAAGUUCUAGGUUGAUUGCCAUGAUUCAAAACCUAUCUUUUUCAGGAAAGGAAGACGAAAACCCUUACCUUCAUAUUAGAGAUUUUGAGCAAACAUGUGAUUGUCUUCGCAUUGAAGGCAUUUCUGAUAAGACUUUACGUUGGAAGCUUUUUCCUUUUCCUUUAAGGGGAGAAGCUAGACAAUGGUACAGUCAGAAGGUAAGUCAACAACAAGGUGAAUGGGGAGUUUUACGAGCCAACUUGUGUCUAGAUUUUUAUUCCCUUGACCGUAUAGCUGACCUUAGACUCGAAGUCCUAUCUUUUAAACAAAAAGAUAAUGAAACUUUGGGAAAAUCCUGGAAACGUUUUUCUGAUCUUUUAGAAUCUGGUCCAAACCUUAAUCUUGAAGACCCUGUUCUUUUAUUUCAUUUUUUCCGAGGUCUUCAUAAAAAUCACAAACAAAUGCUACACACAAUGUCUAGAGGUUCUUUCUUUCGCAUCCCUGCUGAUGAAGCAAGAGUGAUCCUAGAUAGAAUCCUAGAAGCUGAGAUGGAUAAUACCCUUCAUGAUGAAACCUACGAAGCCGAAGUAGACACUCUGCCAAAUUCUUCAUCUACUUUAGCUAUCCCAAGUUCUGAGCCACAAGAGGAAGAAAUUCCACUACCGGACUUCAUGCUGGAUAUAGAAUCCGAUCUUUUUGCUGAUUUUGGAAAUAUUACAAACUACCAUUCUAUUGACAAACCCCAAAACGGCCAGUUUAGCAUUUAUUUACCAAGUGAAUAUCAAUUGAGAGAGCUUAUCUCAGUAAUGAGUAGCGAAUGGUUGGAGGAAUCAGAGCUUUCCUCUGAUGUGAUCCGAUUGGACACACCCUCUAUAACUAUACGCUGUGCUUAUAAUUCUGAUCGAUUUAAUGCUCUCUAUAAUCCUGUUGUGGGGAUCAACAUUAUGUCUGAAUCCUUUGCACUUAAACUAUUUAAAAAUCUUGUCUUAACCCCCACAACAAAGGUCAUAAAGGAAUCUUCGGGACGAUUAGUCCCCAGUCUUGGAAUUAUUAAUGUCCUGCCUCUUACGGUAGAAGGCUCCAUGGUUCAUUUGAACUUCUAUAUCUUUGAUACAUGGGACGUCGACCUAUUGAUAGGACAACCUUUUAGAAGACUCCUUUAUGAAGGUCAUACUGGAAAGCUACACAUUUCUUUUGGAAAAAUUUUUCAAUUCCCAAUGAUAAUUUCACACUCCUUAAACAAUAAGGCCGAGUCAUAUCUUUUGCCUGAUCCUAUGGAGGAAGUAAAGGUUGCAUCUCUAGAGCUUUUAGAUGAACCAGACUUAGAAGACGAAACUCCUUUCUUCACAGAAGAAGAAGACGAACCUUCUGAGCCUGAACCCUUAGACGAGUUCGCAGAAACACCUAGACCCCCCAUAGAACUUAAAACCUUACCACCCGGUCUUACCUAUGCUUUCCUAAACAAUAAUCCAGAGUUCCCUGUGAUCAUUAGCGAUAAACUCACUCAGGAUCAAACUCUACGAUUAAUGACCAUUCUUGAGAAACAUCAAUCAGUUUUCGGCUACUCACUUCAAGAUCUUACAGGAAUCAGUCCUAUGAUUUGUACCCAUCGUAUUCCAACAGAUCCUUCUGUUACACCCUCUCGAGAACCCCAACGUAGACUUAACAACACUAUGAGAGAGGUAGUUAAAAAGGAAGUUAUAAAGUUGCUGCAUGCAGGGAUUAUAUAUCCUGUGCCGCACAGUGAGUGGGUAAGCCCAGUACAAGUUGUGCCUAAAAAGGGAGGCAUGACAGUUAUUAUGAAUGAAAAGAACGAGCUAAUUCCGCAACGCACCGUCACAGGAUGGCGGAUGUGCAUAGACUAUAUAAAACUAAACAAAGCCACAAGAAAGGAUCACUUUCCUUUACCUUUCAUAGAUGAGAUGCUAGAGCGGUUAGCAAACCAUUCGUUCUUCUGUUUCUUAGAUGGAUAUUCAGGGUAUCAUCAAAUCCCGAUCCAUCCCGAUGAUCAAAGCAAAACCACUUUUACAUGCCCUUAUGGAACUUAUGCUUACCGUAGAAUGUCUUUUGGGUUAUGUAAUGCACCAGCUUCUUUUCAAAGAUGCAUGAUGUCUAUAUUUUCUGAUAUGAUUGAAGAGAUUAUGGAAGUUUUCAUGGAUGAUUUCUCUGUUUAUGGAAAAACUUUUGAUAGUUGUCUUGAAAACUUAGACAAGGUUUUGCAAAGAUGUGAAGAAAAGCACUUAAUCCUUAAUUGGGAAAAAUGUCAUUUUAUGGUUAGAGAAGGAAUAGUGCUAGGACACUUAGUGUCUGAAAGAGGUAUUGAGGUAGACAAAGCUAAAAUUGAAGUAAUUGAACAACUACCUCCACCUGUGAAUAUAAAAGGAAUUCGAAGCUUUCUUGGCCAUGCUGGUUUUUAUCAUAGAUUCAUAAAAGAUUUUUCAUUUAUUGCUAGACCACUUACUCUUUUGCUAGCCAAGGAUGCUCCUUUCGAAUUUGAUGAUGCAUGUCUAACAUCUUUCAAUUUAUUAAAGAAAGCACUCAUCUCUGCACCAAUCAUUCAACCCCCUGAUUGGUCGUUGCCUUUUGAAAUUAUGUGUGAUGCUAGUGAUUACGCUGUGGGGGCAGUAUUGGGACAAACUAAAGAUAAGAAGCAUCAUGCAAUUGCUUAUGCCAGUAAAACUUUGACAGGAGCUCAACUUAAUUAUGCAACCACUGAAAAAGAGCUUCUGGCUGUUGUCUUUGCCAUAGAUAAAUUUAGAUCUUAUUUAGUUGGAGCUAAAAUAAUUGUUUACACUGAUCAUGCUGCAUUAAAAUAUUUGCUCACUAAAAAAGAUGCUAAACCUCGCCUGAUUAGAUGGAUUUUAUUACUCCAAGAAUUUGACUUAGAAAUAAAAGAUAAAAAAGGAGUAGAAAAUUCUGUUGCUGAUCACUUGUCUAGAAUGUAUUUUAAGAGUCCACAGGAAACCCCCAUCAAUGAUUCACUCCGGGACGACAUGCUCUACGGGAUUAACAGGUCUGACCCCUGGUAUGCAGAUAUUGUUAAUUUUAUAGUUUCAGGGUAUGUACCACCAGGAGCAAACAAGAAGAAGCUUAUUCAAGAAAGUCGUUCACAUAUAUGGGAUGAGCCAUACCUCUUCCGAGUGUGCUCUGAUGGCUUACUCAGGAGAUGUGUGACCACUGAGGAAGGAUGGAAGAUCAUCGACAGAUGUCAUUCAUCACCAUAUGGAGGUCACUAUGGAGCAUUCCGUACACAUUCAAAGAUCUGGCAGUGUGGAUUCUAUUGGCCUACAAUGUAUGAAGACACGAAGCAAUAUAUCAGAAGAUGUGGGCCAUGUCAAAGACACGGAAACAUAAAUACAAGGGAUGCAAUGCCACUCACCAACAACCUUCAGAUUGAGCUCUUUGAUGUCUGGGGAAUAGACUACAUGGGUCCAUUUCCUCCAUCAAAGAAGUGUGAGUACAUUUUGGUGGCAGUUUAUUAUGUCUCCAAGUGGGUAGAAGCAUUACCGUGCAAGCAUGCCGACAACGUCAGUUCAAAGAGGAUGUUUGAAGAAAUCAUAUUUCCAAGGUUUGGAGUUCCCAGAGUAGUGAUAAGCGAUGGAGGAGCACACUUCAUCGACAAACGCUUCAAGCAAUACCUAUCAAGACAUGGAAUCCGUCACAACGUCGCUACUCCUUAUCAUCCUCAGACAAGUGGCCAAGCAGAGACUUCCAACAAACAAAUCAAGAAUAUUCUUCAGAAGACAGUAAAUGAAAUGGGAACGGCGUGGAAAGACAAGUUACCCGAUGCACUCUGGGCAUACCGGACAGCAUACAAGACCCCAAUCGGAAUGUCUCCAUACCAAUUGGUAUACGGGAAGACUUGCCAUCUACCUGUUGAACUAGAGUUCAAAGCACACUGGGCCAUAAAGAGAUGGAAUAUGGACCUAGAUGUUGCUGGAGAUUAUAGAAAAAUGCAACUAUCAGAAUUGGAAGAAUGGCGAGAGAAGGCAUAUCACAAUUCAAAGAUCUACAAAGAAAGAGUCAAAAGGUGGCAUGACAAGAGAAUCAAGAAGAACGAGUUCACACCCGGAGAUAAGGUAUUACUUUUUAAUUCCAGGGUAAAGCUUUUCGGGCAUGGAAAACUCCGGAGCAAAUGGGAAGGACCAUUCAAGGUAAUCAAUUCAUCAUCCCACGGAGCUAUCACACUUCAAAAUAGCGAAGGUACGUUAUUCAAGGUAAAUGGUCAACGUCUUAAAUUAUUUUUAGAGCCCAAUGAAGAAUUUGAAGAAAUAGACGUAGUCCAUUUUUACCUUCCCAUGGAGAAUUAGAGCCCGACACUUUUGGUCUGAUGGUUUUGGGUCAUAUAUAUAUUUUUCUAAAUAAUUUCGCAUCUAGAAACACGCUCGGAGAAGUGGGCCCACAGAGGGGCCAGAGAGAGGGCGGGCGCCCAGGUCAAGUGGGCGGGCGCCCUGCCCCUGUUCCCCCUCGGUCCCGACUUUCUCUGUUAUGGAAAAUGCACUUAUGGUAAUUCGAAUAAUCCCUCGGACGGAAAGUUUCUCACGCACAUCGACGGGAGUAACCCGAACAACCCAUAGAGGCAUCCUUUUGACCCCUAUAUAAACAGACCCCUGACCUCAGUUUUCAAACACCAAGCCACCAAGCUUUCUCUCCUUCAAUUAGAGCUUGAUUAGCUCUCCUUCAAUUAAAAUUUUAUUAGUUCCUUGCUACUCCAAUGGCCGACAAGUACCACGACGAUUGGGAAGUCGUCCCCUUCAACCUCAACAUGGAGCCAGUGGAAGACCUCGAUGCCCGUGCUCUCGUCCCAGCCAACACAGAGCGUCAGCUAGAAGCCAUGCCAUUACGUCAACGUAGCUCUGCCCAAUCUUACCAUGCUCAACCAGUUCUCACCGCACCACCACAACCCCUACUCCUCAAAGGAUCAUCAUCCAAAACGAAGACCACUAUCAAGGUGCCAGUCGGCACAAGGAUCCUUCCACCUAGACCCAAUGAGAGGGUCGUUGGAGUCAAGACCAACCGGAGCGGCGAGAUCAGCAGCGUUCGCUACACUACGGAGGAGGAAAGGCCUUACUUUGAAGGGAUUAGAGCAGCCAAAGUCCGUUUCAUCCCUCCAAAGGCAGCCCCGAAGCACUCUCUCAAUGCUUUUGAGACACCUCCCAAGCGUCGCAAGACUAUAAUGGAUAUUGAUGAGGAAGUUCGCAGGCUAGAUAGAAUUAUUAUAGAUCUCUAGUCCUCGAUUAAUUCCCUCACUAGGCAGCUCUCUAACCACAACACCAUUAUACUAGGCCUGAGGCAGGAUCUUGCCAGUGCCAACAAGAAGAUCAAGGAAUUAGAGCGCCGCUAAGUUAUCUAGAUUAGACCUUAAGGCAAUGCAUCUUAGUCAUUUAUCUUUAAAUUCGGUUUAGGUUUACUAUUAUCAUCAGUUUACUAUUAUUAUCAGUUUGCUAUCAGUUUGUUAUCAGUUUUUUGUAAUAAAUGCCUCAAGAUCAAUAAAGAGUAUUACUAUUAUUAUUAUGUCUUGUGUGUCUCUACUUUAUUUUUGUGCAAGAAAGCAGAAAACAAGUAUGGGGGAGAUCCCUCGACAUGCCAACCACACUCCGAUUACACCACUCCACCACUCAGGUACACACUCUGCACACUUUACUUUACACAUACAUUUAUUUUGGAUUAUGCAGAAUAUUGUUUCCGACAUGAUAAAUUAAAAAGAUUAAAAUAUUUCUAAUCAUGAUUAAUCUCAAUCUGUGAUAUUUCCUGAAAACUUGCAAUUAUUGGGAAUCAUUUUAAAACCCUGUGUUACUUAAGUCAAUAUGGAAUAUGUGAUGGUAGAGUAUGAGUUUCUUAUUCUUGAUAUCAUUGUUACUUGGAGAACUUAUUUCAAAAUAUUCAAAUUUCUAGCUACCAUCCUCAGUGUUUUAUAUGCCUGAUAAGACUGAAAUAUUAAUUAUGAUUAUAAAAGCUAUCUGCUCUGUAUUGAGUUUGUUCAAAAUGAGUUAGACCCUUGUUGAGAGAUUUAUCAUGCUCCCAAGAUCAAGACAUUAUUUCAGUAAGAUUCACUCUUCCGAAGUAUUAUUGCAUUAGAGGCAUGGGCUAUGCAAAAAUAGAAGAUAUUUCGAGGAAAUAAAAAGGAGCAAGUGCUCGACAACCUCGCAGAAAAAAAAAUGGACAAGUGUCCGGCAGUAGAAUUAGGGGUACCUCGGUAUCCACUUAAAAAAAAGAGAGAAAAAAAAUGAUAGCCCAUGGUCCCUCUAAUAAGCAAUAUGCCAGCAAGAGUUGACAAAGUUUUUAAUUUCUAAAGUCUUUGAUCUAAGAGUAUGACAUUCCCCUCCUCGGAUCCCGUUUUGAUCAGGCAAUAAAUGCAAAGUAAGUAUGCUUGAGAAUUUUUGCAAAAAUUAAAACAGCCUCAGUGAGAUAUAUAUAUAAAAGAUAAUGAGUGAUCUGAGAGAACCUAUGAGGAUAAAAAGGUAUGCUAAUUUUCUUUCAAAAAUAUACAAAAACUCCAAGUGACAGGAUUGAGAAGAAAGGAUCUUUACUCUUAACCAUAUACUUCCCUGACUAUGGUACACAGUGGAAUUUUUAACACCCUGCAAUUAUAAAGAGAAUGUUUUAAAUGUUUACCCCAGAUAUUAUUCUCAACCAUCCUUUUCUCGAGGACGAGUAAAAGCCUAAGUAUGGGGGUAUUUGUUGACGGUUCUUAAGUAUCAAUUUUAAUUAUCAAAUAAACAAGGGAAAGGACCAAUAUGCAACCAUCACCUAGAAUUAGGGUUUGAUCUAACAGAAUUCCACGAGUUUUGUUGUUUAUCUGUUUCUGCAGGGGGUUAUCAGGAAAUAAGGAAGAAAGGCCCACAUGUCGGGAUUACAUAGAGAUAUCAACGCACCGCGCAAUUUUACAUCAUCUAGAAGACUCCAGAAGCCACGAGACCGAAGCGGAGGCGAAGCUGGGCCAGGCCCAGGGCGCCCGCCCUGGUAGCCUGGGCGCCCGCCCCCCUGUUGGAGCCAAUUCAGGACUCCUUCGCUCGGGAUAUUCCACCGACCUAUUGGAUCAAGAAAAACAUAGUACCACCUCGCCUAUCGACCCAAAAACGCAUAGAAGGGGAGGACUAUAUAAGCAAGGCCCCCCUGGCCCCUGGAGGACAGGAAGAAAUUAUCAUAGAGACUGAGGGGUGCCCUCGAAGGAAAACCUCUUCUCUAAUUAAUAUUUCUUUUUAGGCUUAGCAAUCAAUGUAAGGUAGAAAUAGAUCUUCUAGUUUCUACUAGAUUGAGAGAGAUAGAGUGGAGGUGUAGAGUGGAGGAAGCCCGGCUUGUCGGUGUCUACUCCAAGCUUGUACCUGCGGGAUCAAGUUCUCCUAACCCGAAGCUUGCUCCUAGGAUUCUUCAGUAAUUCGACUUCUAAAUUCUAGUAAGUUCUUGUUUUAUUGUUCUUAUGGUUUAUGAGUUUACUUUAAUCUCUUCGCGUAGAGUUUAGAGUAAUCAUUGCUGGCGUAAACGUGGUGUUUAGGCUGGGGUACUCAUAGAUAUUCCCUGACUAGCUGGACCGUGGUAGUAGUGAGGAACGUGACAUUUCCGAGCUACCUUUGUAGAUCACAUCUCGUUAGCAGGAAGGAUAGGGUUUAUAGGUGCGGGUCGAACAUCCUUUGUGUUGUCUAGAUUCCGUUAGCCUCCCCAUUAGAACAAUAGAUCAUCCUUACCAAGGUUAGAAGGAGACUACGGUUGCAGUCUUCUCUAUUUAUCACUCACAUCGAAAGACAUUCUUUGUGCCUAAAGGUUAGUAGUAAUAGACCGGUUAGUCAGAUGCACUCUUUCUCCUAGUGGUAAAAAAAUAAAUACGAUACUCUGGAUAAUUUCCCGGGUGAAGUGCUCACCGAUAUCCGUGCGCUUGCGGAUCAAUUCCUUAUUGCGUUCCCAAAUAUCAACACUAAGAACAAAGAUUAAAGGACUAAACAUGUUAAAUUAAUUGGGUUAGUUAACAUGUUUGUCUCUUUAUUCACGUGAACGCCAGAACCAAGGAGAAGCUUAUAAAAGUGAUAGUCAAGUACCUUAAGAUAUUACCUUACUUGAAGAGUGAUGGUACAGUAUCACCUUGUGGAAGCUUUCCUUUCUUAGCGGUUGUGCACCGUAUUUGUGGCACUCUUUGUCUCGUUCCAUGGAUCAUCUCUCUAUGAUGAAUGAGCUAUGUCUUCCUUGUGCAAAUCGUUAAACUUCAUGUGUCUCCUUUGUCUCCAAUGUGAGUUUGUAUCUCAGGACUUCCCAGGUUGAUAUUGAAAGUUUUCCUGCAGGGGUUAGUCCAACAAAAUAUACCAAUGUCUACUCAAGCAGUUUUUGGUUCAGUAACCAAACUAGACUCCAUGUCUAAUCAGAUUAAGGAAGGCUAUUUAACCUAAGCACCAUGCUUAAUUUAAAUGCCAAUGGAAGUAUGUUGAGUACUUCCAAACCAACACUUGCUUGCGAAUAGACAAAGGUAGCAUGACAGCAUUUAUAGAGAUCUACUCAGGUGGAGAUGAAAAAUAAGUUAGUGUUUAGAAAAAUUGAGCAUGCCUCAAAAGUAGGGACAACCAACAUAGCAACAUGGCAAAGGAUGUUCUAAUGUAAGGUAUUUUCCCCAAGCUUGAAUUUUGCAAAGUUCAAGAUUGGAUGAAUUUAAUUCAAUGUUGCAUGAUGAUUGGUUGGGCAUACCUUGCGCUUGUCAUUCCUCGGAUCUUCUUGCUCCAAUCGUAGAAAGGUUAGUGACACGAAUGCCCGAAGGAAUAUUUCUACAAUUAUCUUUAUAUGCUCAAUACACAAGGCAAUGUUGCAAAUAAUUAAAAGUUCAUGUUACGAUCUGAUAAGUGCUUGUUUUAGGACACUAGGCUUGUCAUUGGGAAACCAUCAAAUUAUGUUGGUGAAGUGGUUUCCCCUCCAACACCAACCUAAGAGUGCCUAUAUCAAGAUUGACUCAACGAUAUCUGCAAUAUUUAUUAUAGACAUAUGCAUCGAUAACCACCCCUUUAAAGUUUUUAUAAAUAGAAAGGAAGAGGGGGUUGGAUAUCUCAAAUGUGGUAAGGUUGGAGAGACCAAAUGAUUGGGGAGAUGUUUUAUAUGAGCAAGGACUUGGUGAGGUAUUUAUGAAAUAACUUCCAUGCUCACUGUUGUUUCUCUCAUUCUCAAACUCCAAGGAUGAUUCUUCAUGAAUGCUUAAAAUUCAUCUAGGAUUGUCUCUCAAGUUUGUUUUAUCUAUCCACUCAAUAGUGAUAGCACAUGGAUUUUUAAUGCCCUCUAGCCAUUGAUGUUGCUCUUCUCGAUCCUCCUUGUGGUCUUGGUGACUCUUAUGCAUGGGAUGUCUAGAGAGAUUCAUAGGAUCAUCGGGGGGUUUAAGAGAAAGAGCAUAGUAGAAAUUAUUAGGCUCAAGGAUGUGUUUAAAGAUAGGUUUGAAUGAGUCAUCAAAAGUGGGCGUAGAAGGGGAGAAGAUGAGAUUGUCUUCUAAAUGGCUUCGCUCUCCUUCUAUUGCAUCACUUAAGAUGCCAUCCUUGAGUCUUUCUAGAUGUCCAUCAAAGGGAUUGGAUUUGAGAUGCUUUCUAAGAGAUCCCUUCUUAGGAAGGUUCAAACUAUAUGCACUCAAAGGUCUCUUAUGAAGCAGGAAGUUUAAGCUCAUCCCAAAAUGAAUUUCCAAAGGUAGAAUUAACUUCUUCCCUUAGAUGAUUUUGGAGCACUACUAGUUUGGGUUGGAUAGCCGAAUCAAGGGAUUGAAAUGUUUGGAAAUCGGCUAUUGAAACUUCCUUUCCUCGUCUGGGAGAUGAUUCCUUCUCUAUCUCUAGGAUUUUUUAUGAAGACUAGUGCAAGAAGGAUGUCUACGAAUGAAGACAUACCUUGCUUUACUAACAGAUAAGGAAAGAAAAACUCUACCAAAGGUUAUAUGAUUAAGACCAAUGUGAAAAUAUCGAGGAAAAACAUGGUCUUGUAGGGCUAGGUUUAAACCAAAAUUUAUAGAAAGAUUAAAAGAUUCCCUAGGUGUAGCUAAAAGUUUAUCUUCUUGAUUAAAAGAUAGGACCUCGGCUAUAGAAAAGGGUUGGUUUUUGACCUAUUGCAAUCAACUCCGGACAUAGAUCAUAAUUAGGGCAAAGAAAGGACUUGUUGACUCCCAUGGUCUAUGGCUGCUCUCCGAAGGUGCAAAAAAUUCAAUAAUAGGUGUGGAAUUUGAGUUAUCCAUAAGGAUGGAAAAAAAUAAAAAGAUAAAAGAAUAAAAGUAUAAAAGUAUAAUACAAGAUAAUAGCAAGACUCAAAGUUAUCCUAGCAAUCCGUCUUUCUCCUCGGCAACGGCGCCAGAAAUGCUUGUUGAUAUUUGUUAACGCCAUCAGGAAAUAAUCCGCAAGCGCACGGAUAUCGGUGAGCACUUCACCCGGGAGGUUAUCCAGAGUAUCGAAUUUAUAUUUUUACCACUGGGAGAAAGCGUGCAUCUAACUAACCAAAUCUAUUGCUACUACCCUUUAGGCUACAAACAAUGUGAUUUGAUGUGAGCGAUGUAUAGAGAAGACUACAACGGCACUCUCGUUCUAACCUUGGUAAGGAUGAUCUACUGUUCUAUUGGGGAGGCUCAUGGAAUCUAGAGACCACAAAGGAUGUUCGAUCUGCACCUAUAAACCCUACCGAUCCUGCUAACGGGAUGUGGGCUACAAAGGUAGCUCGAAAAUGUCACGUUCCUUGCUACUACCACGGUCCGGCUAGACAGGGUAUAUCUAUGAGUACCCUAGCCCAAACACCACGUUUACGCUAGCAAUGAUUACUCUAAACUCAUCUGGAAGAGAUUAACGUAAACUCAUAAACCAAAGAACAAUAAGAACAAAGAACUUACUAGAGUUUAGAAGUCGAAAUACUGAAGAAUCCUAGGAGCAAGCCUCGGGUUAGGAGACUUGAUCCCGCAGGUAGACACUGACAGGCCGGGCUUCCUCCGAUCUACACCUCCACUCUAUCUCUCUCAAUUUAGUAGAACUAAUUCUACUCUCACAUUGGAUGCUAAGCCCUAUGAGGUUGGAUCCCUAGAGGGACCUCUCUCUCUCUCUGAAUCCUGUCUGGAAAAUAUGUUAAUGAAUAAUGGGAUUGCCCUCCUCCAGGGGCCAGGGGGCCUGCUUAUAUAGUCCCCUCAAGUGAACGUGGGCCGUCGGAUCAAACCGACAUUAAUCGCAUGGUUUUUCUUAAUCCUUUAGGUCAGUGGAGCAUAAUCCGGGAGACGGGACCUGAUUGGUCUCUAUAGCAGGGCGGGCGCCCAAGGGGGGAGGGCGGACGCCCUGCCCCUAGGCCCGCUCGGCCUCCCGUUCGUUCCCGUGGCUUCUGGAGUCUCCUAGAUGACAGAAAAUUGCGCGGCACGUUAAUAUCUCUAUGUAAACCCGACAUGUGGGCCUUUCCUCCAUAUUUCCUGAUAACCCCCUGCAGAAAUAGACAAACACCAAAAUUUGUGGAAUUCUGUCAGAUAAAACCCUAAGUCUAGGUGUUUGUUGCAUUUGGAUCCUUUUCUUUAUUUAUUUGAUGAUUAUAUUUGGUACUUAAGGACCGUCAAUAGUCAGCCCAACAGCUAGCAUGGUAGAGCGUCCAACGCUCGCCUGCCUCAUCUGCUCGAUCAUUGCCACAUGUCUCUCUUUAAAUGUGGACCGUUAAUCACUAAUGGCUACUAGAACGUUAAUGCUUUGGAGAAACAGAGUGUUGGACAUGCAGUUGCUAUGCACCGGAUGUGGCAUCCGCCCACCGGACGCUACUCAAAGAGGUCUGCAAACUUGCACAAUUGUCGGACAUGUCCGACGAAGGGUCAUCGAAUGCACCGUCAGCAUCCUGUCGACGAAACCUAGUCGGCAGUCUACCUUGGGGUAUACCCACGGUAGUAGUUUAUUGGCAGACAGGUGCGCAAGCUACGAACUUGAUGGUGACGCAAGACACAGACAAUGUUUUUAUCCAGGUUCGGCCGUCGUGUGGGCGUAAUACCUACGUCCUGCAUCUGAUUGUAUUGCUAUGUGUUGCAUUGAAUUGCGUUGUGUUGUGUUGACCUGUCCUCUAGAGGACCUCUGCCCCUCCUUAUAUACUGUGAAGGGACAGAGUUACAAGCAAAGUAUCCUAUUUGGUACAAUAUCUUGUAGCUUUGCAGUGCACGCCGAUCAGCGUCGUGCGUCGCACGUCUUCAUCUUAUGGGUCGAGCCACCUCUGAUGGUGCAGCCCAUGUCGACCCAUGAGGGCAUAGGGGUUUAUACCCCCAUAGCUUGUCCCCGAGCUCCAUGUAUUAUGAUGUAACACGUCGUCUUGAGCAUCUUCGACCAGUGAGGCUUGACGUCUCUGACCAGUAGGAAAUACGCCCGAACAGUUGACACCUGAUCAACGUCGACACCGAAGAAGCAGGCUGUUCGAAUGCAUGGUGCUCUUGAGAAAAAAGAUUUCUUUCCUGGUGAAGUGUGCCCACUUUACUUUUUUGAAAAGUAUAGACUUAAAAAAGCAAGCAUAUUCACCGUAAGGUCAAGUGUGCCCACUUAAUCCCCAAGCCUGGUAGUAGGUGGCGUAGUCACGUGGUGCUAGGGUCUAAAAAAAUCCACGUAGAAAUUUUGAUGCUGAGAUGCAUCGCUAGGUGCAUCAUAACGAUGUAGUCCCCGAGCUUGCUGGAAGGCGAAGUAUGAGCCUUGUAGCAAGGUCUAAAAAAUUAAAAUUAUCCAGUCCAAUGCAUAUGUAACUGAGAAAAGCAGUCCCAAAGGUGUGGUCGGAGAGUAAUCGAAGCAAGUCCUGAGUACAACUUAGAGAGUGAUUGAUGAGUCCUCGAGCAUGGUUGGAAAUGUAAUCAUGCUCGGUGGUCAGCACAGUCCCCGAGCACGGCAUAGAGACUGGUCGGCCAGUCCCCGAGCAUGGUUGGGAACGUAAACGUGCUUUGUGGUCAGCAUAGUCCCCGAGCAUGGUGUUGGGACUGGUGGACAAGUCCUCGAGCGUGGUUGAGAAAGUAAACGUGCUCGAUGGUCAGCACAGUCUUCGAGCAAAGCGUAGAGACUAGUCGACAAGUCCCCGAGCGUGGUUGGGAACGUAAACGUGCUCGGUGGUCGGAGCAGUCCCUGAGCACAGUGUAGGGAAUAGUCGACGAGUCUCCGAGCCUAGCUUGUUGACUGGGCCAAACUCUUGAAAAAUAAAUAUAGAGAAUAGGUAGUACAUGAUGUAUAAAUAAACUCUAGAUAAAAAAUCAGCACUGAGAUAAGGUUUAGAUUUUUUGUUAUAAAAUUAGCACGAGUAAUUAAUUCAUCCUAGAGCUUGUACCAGAUCUGGUCUAGCCAACAAUCAGCAUGAGGUGCGGAACCUAGGCACGCGUAGGAUUGCCAGCCUUGCCAGAGAGCUACUGCUGACCACCCGGAACGUAGAGGACGGAUCUCAUGCACGUGGAGGGAGAAGUCGGAGACAGUGCUGGCUCUAGAAAACUCGUGUAGGAGAAAAAACUAGUCGGCUAACCAAAAAGUUGUUUUUAAAGGAUAAUAAAAAAUGUUAUGCCAAAAAUAAAUAAAAUAUUAGAGGAGUAGUUAUCUUUGGAUGAAAGUCUGGUCGGCGAUGACAAAAUUGUCUGGCCCUCGAGCUUUUUGACUUGUUGUCAUGACGGUGGUCGCGCUUGUCGUAGCGCCGUUCUUCGCGGCGAUUAUUAUUGUGACUGGUGGUUUGAGAAAGUAGGCUAAAUAACUUGGUGGAUAACCCGAGCAGGUCGGUGUCGUCGAUCUGCCUCCUUUUGUAGCAGGGAAGCGGAUGACGCGUUGUCGGCGUGGUCGGAGACAUUGCUGGAGUAGUCGGAGUCGUAGCCAGCUUGGUUGGAACCACGGCCGACGUCGAUGAAGAAGUCACUAUCGCAGAUUGGAUAUACGCCUCCUCCAUGGUCGUGGUGGUGAAGCUGUUGAAACUGACGGUGAACGUGAAGCCGCCCGCCAUGGCCGCGAAGUCGGAGAUGAUGGCCAUCUUGUUAAUCUAGGUGAGCUGUACGCACACCCCCUACCUAGCGCGCCACUGUCGACGAAAGCUGGUCGGCAGUGUACCUUGGGGUAUACCCACGGUAGUAGUUUAUCGGCAGACAGGUGCGCAAACUACGAACUCGAUGGUGACACAAGACACGGACAAGGUUUUUAUCCAGGUUCGACCACCGUGUGGGCGUAAUACCUACGUCCUGCGACUGAUUGUAUUGCUGUGUGUUGGAUUGAAUUGCGUUGUGUUGUGUUGACCUGUCCUCUAGGGGACCCCUGCCCCUCCUUAUAUACUGUGAAGGGACAGAGUUACAAGCAAAGUAUCCUAUUAGGUACGAUAUCUUGUAGCUUUGCGGUGCACGCCGAUCAGCGUCGUGCGUCGCACGACUUCAUCUUAUGGGCCGAGCCACCUCUAAUGGUGCGGCCCAUGUCGACCCAUGAGGGUAUAGGGGUUUAUCCCCCACACAUCCAGUGAAUACUACCGAAAGCUCACGUUUGCCCAUGCUGAUGUCACCUACUACAGUUGUCGAUGUCGGAUGCUCCGACGCCUAAGCGUUAGAUGCUCUGAUGUGCGAAACUGUUUUCGCCCUCACUGGCCUAUACGCAUCGGACGUGGGUCCAACAUUUGACUUUGUCUAACACGAUGUUCGAUGAGUGUUUGUUAGUGAGAAAUACUCGUGCGACUUUGCUCUUUCUCUAACCCUUGCUCAAGCAAGCUAACCACCAAGUGUUUCACCUCAUGCACAUAUGUUAGCAAGUUUUCACAAAUGUUUUCAAGGGUUAAGUUAGCCCUUUACUAGAUUCUAAUGUAUAUGCUCAAGGUAAGAACCUAGUAGCACUUGAUUCGAGAGAUGACUGUGAUUUCCCCUCUUGAUAGUUGGCUAUCUACCCUAAAUUUAGUCAACCACUUCUCUACUCAACUUAGAUCAAAAAAAGAAAAAAUCAUAUGUUUAUACCUUUGCCUUGUUCACUUUGCUUAUUGUCCAUCACCAUGAUCUCCACCUCAUGUUUCAUCUCUUUGUGAUCAUGUGUCCACCACUCUAUGUCACCUGGCUCCUUCAUCACAUGUGUUGCUAUGCCUAAAUUAAACUACUUAACACAAUAGCAUUAGCAACUUGGUGUCAUUAAUUACCAAAACCAAACUUGAGCUUUCAAUCUCUCCCUUUUUUGUAAUUGAUGACAACCAUCAUAAAGAUAUGAAAUGAAAUCAUAAUGAACUUGAAUUGCUUGUCCAAAGCAUUUUGAUCAUGAAACAAGAUUGGACAAACAUUUCAAUUUUGGUUUUGGUAGUACUAGCUAUUGAUGGUGGAUAUACCAUAGAAAUCCACACUCAAAACACCGUCAACAUGCCUUGAUUUAAGGAAGAAUAAACAUAACAUGAACAUAUUUUAUUAAUAACUAAUUCCACUUGUACUCCUAGCUUCUAAUUGUAGGUAACACAAAACCAAGCUCAGGAGGUCCCACAUAGGGGGCCGCUCGACCCCCCUAUGGGCCCACCUUGGCUUGAGCUUUUGAGCACAAUCUGUGUCAAGGUCCCCAAAGUCCAUUUUUACCCUCAGAUCAACCUAUGUUUUCAUUUAAUGGUGAAAGAUCAUUGCAUAUGGAUCUAUGGGCUCACAAGAAAGCAAGCAACAUGACAAACACUUAACAAUUGGUGGAGCCACUUCCUGGAUAGAUCGGGACACCUUCUAGAAGACCCUAGCUAGGCCCACCUACUAUAAGUGGGGUCGGUCGACCCCCUUGGUGCCCAGCUAGGUCGGUUGGCUCCCCAUUGACUUAAGCAUGUCUCUCAUGUGAUGGUUUCACCACUGUCGUCCAUUUAAGGUGGUUCGCAAGGUCGGUUUGUCCAAGGGCCAAGGUGGAGAAGCACAUGGAUCAAUGAUGUGGUGGUGGCGUAGCCUCUACUUCACCUUCCCCUAUAAAUAGAGGCUGCCUCCAUCCUUGAGAAGCAUCCCCAAUAUCACCAAGUCCUCAAGUCUCUAAUCUUCAUAUCUUAGGAGAUCAAGAAGCAAGAGUAGUAGUAGUUAGUCUAGAGUGAGAGUUAGAGUCAAGUCCAGUGAAGCUUGAGGUCUCUGGAGUCGUCUUUUGGAGAGUCUGGUAUAGCUCGUACCUUUUCUUUGUUGUAAGACUUUUCCUUUAUUAAUAUAUUACUUACUUUACUUUACUCAGUGUUUACUUAGUAUUUACUUAGUGCAAGUCUAUAUUCAUUAUAGUCUUGUUGUGCACUGUCUUAGCAAUAUAGUUGUCCUAGUUAGAUUGGUUUCCUAUAACAACUCCUUAUGUGUGCAUCAUCGCCCUAUCUCUGCAUAGAAGCUUUAGUUAUCUACGCGUUGGCUAGAGUUGUGAUAGUAAUUGUGAGCUUGGUGCUCAGACUUAGUCUUACCUUUGGUUGUCGCUGGUCUACAUAGGCAGUGCGUGGGUGUUGGCAACAGGUGACAGAUCUUACCCAACUUUAUAGUUUUCUCAUGAUGUUCAAGCAAGUUCUUAAAAGGCAAGGCAUCCAUAAGCCAAGUAGUCGCUUUAGUAGUGGUUCUGUCUUCUGCUAUCUCAGCUAUCCCUCUUACGCAAGUAGUAAGGCACCAGUCUAGUUAUGUCAUCUAUGUGUUAAGAUUAAGUUCAUAGAAGUAAAGUUAGAUACAUAGGAGUCCUUUACUCACUCAUUGUCCUCCCACCAAGCUAACACUUUACUAGUUAUCUUUAUAUCAGACUCUUUGCUAUCUCAUUUACCUAUCCUUCCUAUAAUUCAUUUACCCUCCUUCUUCACUAGUUGAUACUAGAUUGUAGUAGAUAUAAGGAUCUCUCUCCCCUUUUAUUAAAUAUUACUACCUACUACUUUCCCUUGGGAUAAAAACAAAUAACAAUACCUUGGAAUACUCAUCCUCGGUGAAGUGCUAAAUCUGUACAUUCUAUGCACUUGCACAAUAAUUUAAUAGACAUAAGAAAUACCCCACAUGCCUUUGUAGCACUGUUGCCAAUCUUUAGUAGCGACGUUAAUAAUUACCAACAAAUAUUUCUAGCGCCAUUGUCGGGGAUGGAUUUUAAACUCUAUUCUUAGUAGCGACGCUAAGAAUUAUCAACAAGCAUUUCUGGCGCUGUUGCUAAGGAUAGAUCUAAAACUCUAUUCUUAGUAGUGACGCUAAGAAUUGUCAACAAGCAUUUUUGGUGCCGUUGCCGGGGAAACUGUAGGAAUUUUAAUAAAAGUGAAUCCAGAGUCUACUCUUGGUCUAGUUAUCAAUUAGUGUUAGGGGCUUACCCCUCACGUGUCUUGUUUUUUGUUAUCGUGAAACUAGAAGGUACAUGAGUGGUUUCCAAUUGUCGUCAAACUUUGUUGUAGAUCCUGAGCAGUUGUUAAGGAGAACUAGACGUCGUCAAGUUCCACCUCAUAGGUUCAUCUCAGAUCUGAAUCCGCUUGAGGAAGGAGGCUCCACAGCAAUCAUUAAGGAAGCUAUGGCCCAAAAGACCAUCUCUGAGUACUCUGCACCAUCAGCUGACUAUGUCGCCAUGGGUCCGCAGCUUAACAUGGGGGUUGCGACUUUUAGCUUAAGUCGACACUCACAAAUAUGGUGCAAGCCAACCCGUUCUGUGGGAAGCCACACGAGGACACCAAUACCCAUCUCCAACCCGUUCUGUGUGGUACCUUCACCAUCAAGAAUGUCUCCAUAGACGCCGUGUCACAGAAUCGACCAAAUUAUAAGAGAUCAAGGGUAGAAAUGAUCGCAUAGACAAUCAAGUUUCCAAACUUGAGCCCAUAUAAUCCUGGUAGUCAACUGAAAUCACGAAGGAUUUCCAACAAACUUCGCAACAAACCAAGAUCUUAAUAGUUCAGCACAACACAACGAUUAUUACAUAGUUCAUUCACGGUCGACGAAGCGACACCACAUCGGAGUUACUUAAGUUAUUACAACACAAGUUUAAAGUAGCAAAAGCAACAUAGUUUUCACACACAUAUUACUGGUUCUUGUUACAGCCAGAGUCUCAUCAUAUCCACCAAAAGCAUCAUAAAUACGAAGUCAUUAGAGAACCGUACCCAACGGUUUAGUCCUCAUCCCUGCAGGGUGAAGACAGGUCUUGUAGAAACUGUCAUAGAAGAUGUCAUCUGCAACAAGUAGGAAUAAACCCUGAGUACGAGGAUGUACUCAACUAGACUUACCCGUCUAACGACACAUAAAAGACACCAAGGAUUAUACAAGGCUGAGUAUAAAGUGGAGCUGGCUUGACUCAUGUUAUUUGCCAAAGAGCUUAAAUUGGAUAGUAAAUCAUUCUUAUUAGCAUCAUAUUGAUUAUCAUUAGCCUAUCACUAGAUUAGCAUCUAGACUAAGCACUUCACUUGAUUAUUACCAAACAAUAAUAACCAUAUCAAAUUUCAACAUAUGUUCUUUCUUGCUAUCCUCAACAUCAUCAUUAAAGAACCAUUAAGUACUUAGUAAAUGCUACGUUUGCCGCUGCUCUAUCAAGUUCUCACUAUCUGGGAGAGACGGUGUUGACUGUCCUUAAGUAUCAAAUUUAAUUAUCAAAUAAAUAAAGAAAAGGAUCCAAAUGAAAUCAACAUCUAGACUUAGGGUUUUAUCUGACAGAAUUCCACGAGUUUUGGUGUUUGUCUAUAUCUGCAGGGGGUUAUCAGGAAAUAUGGAAGAAAGGCCCACAUGUCGGGAUUACGUAAAGAUAUUAACGUGUUGCGCAAUUAUCUUACAUCUAGAAGACUCCAGAAGCCACGAGACCGAAGCGGAGGCGAAACGGGGCUAGAGACAGGGCGCCCGCCCUGCCCCUGUGUCCAAUCAGGACUCUGCUUUGCGGGAGAUCUCCACCGACCUAAAGGAUGAAUCUAAACCAUACAAUCUAUGUCGGUUUGAUCCAAGGGCCCAUAUUCACUUGAAGGGACUAUAAAACCAGACCCCCUGGCCCCUAGAGGAGAGAGCCUCUCAACCCUAAUUCAUUGUUCCAUCAAGGGAGAAGAAGCCUCUCAUCAAGAUUAGAGCCACCACAUCAAUUAGAUAUCUAGAUUAGCAUAGCUACAUAGGAUUAGAACUAGAAGGAGUCAAUCUUCGAUUGGUUUCCGGAUCUGUCAGGAGGAUUCUUGGUAAUUCUCUAAUUGUGCUUCUAAUUGCUUUCUAAUUAUCUUUGUUCUUCAAUAUUAUGAAUAUGACUUUGUUCUACUUCAAUAUAUUGCUUAUGACUUUGCUCUACUUGUUUAUAUUCAAGAUUAUAUUGUUCUUAGUUUAUCAUAGUUAUGUACUUGGCUUAGUUAGAUACGAUCUAUAUACAUGCUUAGGAUCGUAUAGCGUUUAUCCAUCGGAUCCAUGGGUAAAUGAUAGAUAUUGUGUAGGCGUGGUGCUUAUACCAUAUUUAUCUGCGAUUGUACCCAAUAUGCCAGAUCGUGGGGUGGUUCGUGAUAGUGACAGCUUCAUUGAUUCUUAUAUAGUCCCCCUCUCGUGUAUUGGGCUGGCAGAGCAACAUUAUUACAGGGGUGUGAUUGCUAUGUUUCUCAUAUUCCUUGCUAAUAUCACUAUGCAUGGGCGUAGUCUUGUCUCGCAAUGAUUGCUAAGUAUGCUUGCACUAAUUAUGAUAAUGCUAGACUAUAUAGUUGAGAAUAACUUAGGGAAUAUUCUUGUAGUUCAUUCUAAUACCAUGCUAAUGACUUUCUAGAGUAUCUAAUUGAGGUGCUUAUCAUAUUUAUUAUGUGGCUAGAUCAGAUUAGUUAUCCUUGUCACUAUUAUUAUUUCAUAUAUCUUUUAUGUGACACUUAUCCCUGUAUGAAGAGUUAGAUAUAAUGUUCUCAAUUAUACAUGCAAUGAUAGAUGCUCAAUCUCAUAUUCUAUUCUGUAAUCAAUAGUGAUGAUUGCUAAUCCCUUCCCAGUGGUAAAAAUAUAAAUAACGAUACCUGGAAUACUUCCCGGUUAAAAUGCUGCAUCGGUAUUAAUCUGUGCGCUUGCAGAUCCCAUUCAUUAUUUAUUUAGAAGAGCAAUUGCAUAUUUCAAUACCGCGUCUCUUAUAUCAUGCUGGGGAUGACAACUUGGCUUAAGUGGUGUGAGGGAUAGGUUUGGCAUUUUUGGCACCGUUACUAGAUUUAGAGAACUUAGUCUACUUUUAGUAAUGAUGUUAAGAAUACCCAACAGUCGGCGAUUCGAAUCGAUUCCUAUCCAGCUGGAGGGUUAUUCCUAGCACUCACCCAUGCAUCCCCCAUCGGAGAGCAAGCGGGUCACCUUUGGUACAACUCAGGAAUCGCGGCUCCGAUCAGUGCCGCAAUCCCAGGGCUGCCACUCUGUCAGAAAGAUUAGGACUUUUAAAUCACCUGCCCUUGGUCUUAUGCCAAUGGCUCCCGCACACCGCACUUCCUCUGGUAGUGCGCACUUUAUACUUACCGGUCUUCUGGCCUGAGUCAUACUACUAGGCUUCGUGGUCGGAACGAGUUAUCCGGCCAACUAAGUGUCAGACAUGCGUUCAACAUGACAAGAGGACAUACAACGAUCGGUCCUUAGCUGCCACAGGCGGAGUUACUAUCACCUUGCAAAACUCUGCCCCACUUAAGUCAUAUUAAUCAGGUUCUUUUCCCAUGAUAGCAAAUAUAGCCAACCGUGAUCCAACAACAGACCCUAUUUCGCGUAGGUGACAGGAUAUCACCCGACUUCUACCGAUUAAAGCAUGGCUAAGCUACUACUCGAUCCUGACUCUAUACCAAGGUAGGGUAAGAUAUCUAGACAAGGGAAGGUAUAAUGCAGAAAAGGUUCCAUCACAACUCCUAUAUGUAAUGCAACAAUAGAUAUAACAUAUUCAAUCAUGCUUUGAAAUUAAGUGGGAGACUUAAGAUGCUCCAGGGCUUGCCUUUCAUGAAAGAAGUGGGCUCGUGACUAGGGCAGUCGACUUCCUCUUUGGGCUCCUCGGGUCCUGCUGGCUAGACCUCCCUCUCCUGGGUGACUUCCGGACCUUCUGGAUUCACCCUCUCGAGCUCGAACGAGGCUGCGAUCUCCGGUACACCUAUUGCAUGCACGCUAUGAGUGAGGAAUGUAUGCAUACGAGGAAAAUGAUGAAUUCUUGACACAAACAUGGUUACACACGUCACUAGACACUAAUUUACGGAGUAAGUUUACACAAGAGUACCACCACAACUAACAAAGACACACUAACUUACACAAUUAAUCAGCAACUACCAACAGCAGGGCAGUCCGAAGAACAACUCAUAACUGGAGAUACAUAACUCCAAAAGACAUGAAUUAAGACAUUCUGGAAAGCUUAUGAAAUUGUUUACAUUUCAUCUUUAAACAUCUCAACAAGAUUCGUAAGUUAAACAAGUCAAUUAAACAAAGUUCCAGGUUCUGUCCCAGAAAAACAGAGAGCACCUAGUUCUGGAACUUCACUUGGAAAAGCUAUAACUCUUAAACUACUGGGCCAAAUCACCCCAAAUUUUAACUACAGCAAGAAUACAAAGUUUAGAACAACUUUGGUAUAGACAAGUCUUCCAGAAAAUGAAACUAACAUCAGGCAAUAAUCAGAUUAGUCCCUGGCUGUCUAGAACAGUUAUAAAGCCUUUAAUUAAUUAUUUGUUGACAUAGCAACGACAUAUUUAGUGCCAACCAAGUGACUCAUAAGAACAAACAUGACGUAAGAUUACCAGAAAACCACAUGUUAACUAAUAAACCCUCAAUUAUAAAGCCUUUAUGAAUUUAAUUCCAUUUAAGAGCAUAAUUAAGAGAUACCAGUAAGAGUGCUCAGAAAAAUCUACAAAAAUUACAGAAGCUCAAGCAAGACACCUAGACAUCACCAUAAAAUUUUCAGAGCAAAUGCACAUGCCAAACUUAGGAUAUUUAAUUAGCAUGUAACAAGGUGCUUAUUAUAUAAAUUAAGAAACUUGGGCUAAAUAGUGUCAAACAACAGAUUUCAGAUUAUUUACAUGCUAUUACUACCAUAACCCUACUUGACACCAAAGAAGAACACCAGCACAAGCAUACAACUUUUAAUAUGAUUUAAACAAGGAUUUAAGCAAUAACACUAACAUUAAUUACAUAUCAGAGAUACAUUGCUUCAAAAAUCAUGAAAUGUUUACCAGAGCAUACUAGUACCAAACAAAGCAUAGCAUAAAAAUUUCACAGCAUUUGGAGCAGUAUAUCAAGAGAUAUGAAUUUACUUUGAAAUAACAAGAUUAAUUCAUAACAAUUAUUUUUCACAGAAAACAUGACACAUUUUAUUUUUUUAUUAAAAACUAGUCAUCUCAAAGAAUGCCACAAAAAAUUGUUUCACAAUUUUUGGAGCUCAAGAACAGGAGAUAUGAUUUUUGCAAGAUUGUACAAAAUCUAGAAUUUGAAUAAAAGAAAGGAGGGAAACGUUGAGUCACUGACAGCGGGAGCCAUGCGUCAGUGUUGUCUUCCUCGCGCAGGAAAAGCUUCCACCGGCGAUUUCUCGCCGACGGUGAGGUUCCCGGCCAAACCAAGGGCACUGGAGUGUUCCCCAGACCAAGGCGCAUCGAAUGGACCUACUUAUCCCAUGGCGGAGCCAUCGGAGUGGACUCGCCGUCGAUCAUGGCGGCUCGGCCGAGGUGUCCGACGGUACGCCGUAGCUCUCAGGUUAGUAGAGCAUGAACUAAGGAGUCCUACAGCUACGGUGAGUCACGGUGGAGCUUCCCAUAUGGAGAGCUAGGCCGGAGAGGGCUCAGGCGAGCCUGGCCACGUGCGGGUGGUGCUCCGGCGAGAGCACGGCGGCGCUGCGCUGCCGUUUUCAUCGUCGGUGAGUGCGAUAGAGAGCUCGACGGUUGGCUCACUAGUUAGCUAAGAACCUAAGCUACCCAGAGAUACUAACCAGAGAAGAAAAGAGGCUCCGAGGAGCUCAGCAUUGAGUUCGCCGGAGAAAACUGUUCCGGCGACCCGAUUUGGGGAAAGCGGAAAUGUGGGCUCACCGGAGGGUUUCACGGCGAGCUAGGUGGUGGAGAUGGAAGAGCAGGGCUCGGCGGAGCUGCUGGUAAACUCUAGUGGAUGGUGGUGCAGCGUGGAGCACGCUCGAGCUCGUAGGAGUGAGCCCGACAAUGGUGACUCCGCUGCCGUCGCGUUUCUGCGAGAGAAAGGAGAAAGGGAGAGAAUGAGCGUGUCCAGGAGCUCGAGGAUGACGUCGUGGAGGUCAUGCACGCCCUCAACGCUGAUGAGUGGGGCUAGGAGCGGUGUACGGGCACCAAAUGGCGAACAGAUGCUGCCGCCGGUCGGCCACGUCGGCGACUGAAGCCUCCCAUUCAGAACUCGAUUUAGUGUGUGACAGAGCUACUUUGCCGGCAAUUAACUCCCAAACCGUGGCAAAUUAGGAGAUGGUGUAGUUUACAAUCUUGGAGUACUAACUGAGUUCUACAAGUUUGUCAACUGGAGCAAAAGCCAAAUUGGCCUGGAUGAAAAGAUAUAGAGCUUCCAAAAACCUUCACACAAACUUUUGGCGCCAGGACUUAGCAAAAUUUUGCUAAGUGUCAAAACAACCCCCAAUUCUGCCUUGUCAGCCCCUUUUGAGCAAGUUGUGAUCAUUUUCAUGAGAUGGCUAUAAAACAACUUUUGCUCCUUAUGAAAUUUGCUACAAUGUUGUUUUAGAAAGUUUUGACAUGCAAACAUUUUAUGAACCACUUUUUAAAAGCCUAAGCAAAAGAGGUUUAUGAGCCCCCUUAGCGAAACCAUGACUUAGAAGCAUAAUUAGAGGAUAUGAUCAACAGGAACAUUGUUCCAAAGGUUGAGUUAAACAAAUUUAAACCACUUACCAAGGUCUAAAACACAUACAAGGGCAUGUAAUAAUCAAACACAAGCAUAUAAAGCAUAAAUAAACAAGUUAAGCAACAUCUACACAUAAAAUGACAUGUCCCAAGGUAAAUGAUAAUCAUGGUAUGCUUAUGAAGAUGAUUAUGCUCAUGUCAUGCAUGUGAAAGGAUGCAACCAUAACACAACGGUGUUACAGGCCUCCCCCUUACAAAAAUCUAGUCCCAAGAUUUGAAAGCUUACAGAUAUUCAAAGAAGGUUUUAUAAACUUCUUUUAAAUAGUCCUCUAUUUCCCAAGUAGCAUCUUCCUCCCCGUGGUUACUCCACAAAACUUUGUAGAACUUAACCACGCGAUUACGAGUUACCCGUUCCUUGUGCUCAAUGACCGCCACAGGCUUUUCUUCAUACACCAGUCUGACUUUAACUUGAUAUCCUGAACCUCCAUUCUUUCUUCCAGAACACGAAGGCAUUUCUUUAACUGAGAUACGUGAAAAACAAGAAAAAUAGCUCGUAGCUCGAACGGUAGUUGAACCUUGUAAGCCACUUUCCCUUUCCUCUCAAGAAUCCGAUAAGGUCCCACAUAACGGGGUGCAAGCUUUCGCUUGACUCCAAACCUUUGUACACCCUUCAUCGGAGACACCUUGAGAUACACAUGAUCCCCGACUACAAAGUCAAUCGGUUUUCUUCUCUUGUCGGCAUAACUCUUUUGACGAGCUUGAGCAGCUUCCAGAUGUUGCUGGAUUGUACGGACUUGCUGCUCCACUUCAUUCAUGAAAUCAAUGUCGUAAUACCUUCGCUCCUUGGGUUCCACCUAGUUCAAUGGGGUACGACACUUUCGGCCAUACAGGGCUUCAAAAGGAGCCAUCUUGAUGCUCUCUUAGUAACUAUUGUUAUAAGAGAACUCAGCUAACGGUAACCACUUUACCCAAGACCCUUUUGAAGAGAGAGCACAUGCUCUCAACAUGUCUUCUAGGAUUUGGUUAACACGCUCAGUUUGGUCGGCCGUUUGUGGAUGAUAUGCAGAACUUCGAACCAAGUGAGUACCAAUCUGCUCGUGAAGACACUCCCAAAUACGGGCAGUGAACUGCGGUCCACGGUCUGAUAUGAUAGUACGAGGCACACCAUACUGAUGGACAAUGUGCUCGAAGUACAACUCCGCAUACUGAUGCAGACGAUACUCAGUUCUAACUGGAAUAAAGCGAGCGACAUUGGUCAAACGAUCCACAAUCACCCAGAUAGAGUCAUAACCCUUAACAGAAGUGGGGAGUCUAGAGAUAAAGUCCAUACUUACUUCUUCCCAUUUCCAACCCGGGAUUGGCAAGGGUUGAAGUAAACUUGCUUUCAUGUGAACUGCCUUCACGCGAUAACAGUUAUCACAACGAGCAACAAAAGCAGCAAUCUCCUUUUUCAUCUUUGUCCAACAAACAGAGGUUUCAGAUCCUGAUACAUCUUACUACAACUGUGGGGGUAUAAACCCCUAUACCCUUACGGCUAGACUUGGGCCAGGAGGCUUGGCCCAUUACGAGACAAGUUCGAAGCUUGAUCCGACCACUCAGAGAUUCGCGCAAGGAAACAAGACGAGGAGAUCAAGCAGGAUUCUAGUCGGUUCGAAUAGGAAUUGAUAUCGAAUUAUCUAUGGAAGUUGUAACCGACUAGGAUUAGUUUCCAGAUCUGUAACCCUGCCCUCCGGACUAUAUAAGGAGGGGCAAGGGACCCCCUAGGACACAUUAUUCUCUCAAUCCAAUACAAUCAGACGCAGGACAUAGGUGUUACGCCCACACGGCGGCCGAACCUGGAUAAAAAGCUUGUCCGUGUCUUGCGUCACCAUCUAGUUCGUAGUUUGCGCACCGUCUACCGAUAAACUACUACCGUGGGCAUACCCCAAGAUAGACUGCCGACUAGCUUUCGUCGACAGUGGCGCGCUAGGUAGGGGGUGUGCGUACAGCUUUUCCGGCGAACAAGAUGGUCAUCGUUCCAGCUUCUGCAGCCGUGCCUGAAGGCCUCACGUUCACCGUCGGCCAGAUUACGUGGACAACUCGCGGCGGUGGCCUCACGGCCACGGUUUCGGAAGAAACCCAGAUUCAAUCUGGGAUGACGGCGGCAUCGGCUCUGACCACGCAGACACUGGCACCGAGCACCCAACCACCGCUUCUGCGCUACAAGGGAAAGAAGAUCGAUGGCUCGGACCUUCUCUGAGCUCUUGAUCGCGCCGAUCUCAAGCUUCUCGAAGCUUCCCGACUAGUAGAUGGGAUCUCGCGUCAGCCUGAUCAAGCCGUGCAAACGGAUUUUUUCAACUCCUACCGGCCAACUUGUGUCGUCACACACGAACGACUGGGAACGUCUCUGACGAUAACCUCCACCCCCUCAGGACAGUCCUUCAAACUCGAGGCUGAUCCAGAUCAAGGUUAUCCUUACGGGCUGAACGGUUCGGCCGUUCUCUAUUCACGGCACAUCCAAUCCCUUUUCAACGAGGCUGGUUGGUUGCCAAAAUGGAGCGGUCGACCAGCUCGUCACUACGUCAACAUGGUGACGAUCUGAGAACUACGAGACGGCCAGGCUUCCAGCACAAACUCCAGCACUGGGUCCGUUCCCACUGAAGUCAUAAACUCCGAAGACGAGGACUACGACCGGGAUUUACCACCAUAUCCUCUGGGUUUCUCUCGCUUCCCGGUCUUUCCACCCUGGUGAGGAGACCUCGUUUUCAAUGUCAGCGGCGAUGAGUCGGUCGUUGAUGGAGAAACAAACGAACAGAGGCAGCUCCGCGAGCAGCGCAAUGCCGACCGCGCCCGACGACGCGCGGACAAGGAGCGCGAACUCCCGCCGCAUAAUCUCACUGAUGCUUUCGACAUGGUCGGGGAUCAGCAAGUCUACAAAACGCCAAGCGCUAACGUGGCUGUUGCCAUGGCCAACUUAGAUCGACUCCCUGAUACUCCCGAAUGCCAGGGCAUCCGAUCCUGCGUACGCGCACACCUGAUCGCCGUGAUGGGACAGACAACCACUCUGCUCAAAAGAGUCCAAGCUAUCUCCUAUGCAGAGGUCUCCUCCAACCAGACCCAUCGUAGCCGGACCUCAACACAACCCAGCGGGCACCACCGCAGCCGUUCCCCCAACAAUCAUCGAAAAGAUUCACGGCGUUACGAUGGCGGUCGGGAUGCUGGCGGCUACCGCGAGCAGAAUCGCGGGUGUGGUCAGGAAGUAAACCAGCACAGGGAUCUUCGAUACAACAUCCCUCCCAAAGACGCCCCGGACCGCAUCAACAGGCGCGCUACGGAGAGAGCAGUUCACGAAAACCUACGUCGUAUUGAGUACGAUGCAACGCACGGCCCCCCGGGCCUGAGACAGUUCUCCUCACACCUCUGCCAGGUCGUGUGGCCCCGCAAUUUCAAGCUUGAGAAACUCAAAAAAUACGACGGCAAGGAAAACCUAGAAAACUGGAUCACUCUAUACGAGAUCACCGUUCGGUUAGCAGCAGGAGAUGAGCACGUCAUGGCCAACUACUUCCCAGUCGUCCUCGACCAGGCUGGUCACCAGUGGCUCCUAGGCCUGCCCGAGGACUCUUUCGACUCCUGGGAAGAAUUACGCCAAGCAUUCAUCGACAAUUUCAUUGCUACCUACGAAUAGUCUGGGAACAAAUACGACCUCGAAAGGAUACGGGACAGGAAAAAUGAGCCUCUACGCGAUUACAUCCGACGAUUCUCGGAUAUGCGCCUUAAGAUCCCGAAAAUUUCCCACGACGAGGCCAUAUCUGCUUUCAUCAAGGGGCUGCGCUUCCACGAAGCACUGAGGAACAAGCUGCUGCGCAAAAGGCCAACAACGAUGGCCGAGCUCCUUGCCAAGGCUAAAAAUUACGCCGACGCCGACGACGUAGAAAAACUCAUCCGGGACGAUGCAAGAGGUCCCGACCAGCCUCCUCGGCGAGACGAUAGUCGAGGCCGUUUCGACAACAGGAACCAUUGCCGCCCCGACAACCAGGACCACAGAGAAGGCUGGGACAGGCGGCGUGACAAUCGCGAUGAUUUUAGAGGCAAGCGCCCUCGCGACCACGACCACGAGGUGAAUACGGUCAAGCGUCCCAAUGGGCGGCGAGACUACCAGGAAGACUACAAUAAGACGUUGAAGGGACCAUGCCAACUGCAUCCAAAAUCCAACCACACGAUGCAGGAAUGUCGCGUCCUAAAAAGCAUCUACACGCGGCGGGCUGCUCAAGACGACCCCGCUAAGAAAAACGGGAAACAGGACGGGCGCGAUCAUGAAGACGAGGACGACGACCAGGAUAGGGACCCACGACACCAGUAUGUCCGUCCCACAGACGUGGUCCACUCCAUCUUCGGGGGCAAGGUCUCCAUCGAGUCUAAGCGAGAAAGAAAGCCCUUAAAAAGGGCCUGCCUAAACAUAGACAGCACGGACGGCCUGAUAGCCGAUUCGAAAUUUCCUCCCUGGUCGCAUAGGGAAAUCUCCUUCAGCAGGAAGGAUCAGUGGGCCGCUAUCCCAGAGCCAGGACGUUUCCCUCUAAUCUUGGAUCCUUGCAUCAACAGCAUCAGAUUCGAGCGCGUGCUCGACGACGGGGGAAGCUCCAUCGACAUCCUCUUUCGCAAUAGCUUACCUGCCCUCAAGAUAACCCCAGCACAGUUAAAGUCAUACGAUGCUCAAUUCUGGGGAGUCUUGCCAGGUCAAAGUUCAGUGCCCCUCGGACAGAUAACACUGCCUGUCCAAUUCGGCACAUCCGACCACUUUCGAACACAGUUCGUCAACUUUGUGGUCGCCGACUUCGAUGGAACUUACCAUGCUAUACUGGGCCGACCAUCGCUCACAAAGUUCAUGGCAGUUCCACAUUACUCAUACCUGGUCCUCAAAAUGCCUACAGAGAAGGGCGUCCUAACUGUCAGGGGCAAUGUCUACACUGCAUACACUUGCAAGGAGGAAAGCUUCAAGAUCACCGAAGCAAUUGACCUUUCAAUCCGCAUGGCAGAAACAACAGCUCAAGCUGCACAGCUCCCUCCCGACCAGCUCCGACUACCCGAGCAGGAGACCACCAGGAAGAAUUCAAAGUCCAGGGAAUACAAGGAAGUACAGCUGGUCGAAGGCAGCCUCAAGAAGACGGCCCUCAUCGGGGCCAACCUGGAUCCUAAAUAGGAAGACACGCUCAUCAGGUUUCUAAGGGAGAACGUGAGCGUUUUCGCAUGGAAACCCGCAGACAUGCCCGGCGUCCCACGAAACCUGAUCGAGCACUCCUUAAACGUCUCGAAGAUCGCAAGACCCAUCAAGCAAAAGCUGCAACGGUUCACUCGUGACAAAAAGGAGGCUAUUAGGACAGAAAUAACACGGCUUCUAGCAGCCAGAUUUAUAAAAGAAGUGUAUCAUCCCGAUUAGCUCGCCAAUCCGGUUCUUGUACGCAAAAAGAAUAAUGAAUGGAGAAUGUGCGUUGACUACACUGAUCUCAAUAAACACUGUCCUAAAGAUCCUUUUGGUCUCCCUCGCAUAGAUGAGGUGGUCGAUUCAACGGCCGGAUGCGAACUCCUCUCUUUUCUAGACUGCUACUCUGGUUAUCACCAGAUCUCGCUAGAGGAAGACGAUCAGAUCAAAACGUCUUUCAUUACUCCUUUCGGUGCAUACUGCUACACGACCAUGUCCUUUGGACUCAAAAAAGCCGGAGCCACCUAUCAACGGGCCAUCCAGCAAUGCCUCCAUGACGAGAUUCGUGAUGACCUCGUCGAGGCUUUUGUAGCCGACGUCGUCAUCAAAACAAGGGAUGCAAGCACCCUAAUCGACAACUUAGACCGAACCUUUAAGGCACUAAACAAGUACAAAUGGAAGCUUAACCCCAAAAAGUGCAUCUUUGGGGUCCCCUCUGGUCUACAACUCGGCAACGUCGUCAGCCGCGACGGCAUACGACCGAAUCCUUCAAAAGUAAAAGCAGUGCUCGACAUGCGACCACCUAAGAAUGUCAAGGAUAUUUAGAAGCUCACCGGAUGUAUGGCCGCUCUCAGCCGCUUCAUCUCAAGACUAGAAGAAAAAGGCCUCCCUUUCUUCAAACUCUUGAAGGCGUCAGAAAAAUUCUCCUAGACAGAGGAAGCUGACGCUGCGUUCACCCAGCUCAAGACCUUCCUCACCUCACCGCCUGUUCUCACAGCGCCUCAGCCCAAUGAAGACCUACUCCUUUAUAUUGCAGCAACCGACAGGGUUGUCUCCACGGCAAUAGUGGUCGAGCGAGAUGAGUCAGGUCACGUCUACAAGGUCCAGAGACCCGUUUAUUUCAUAAGCGAAGUCUUAAACGAGUCCAAGGCCAGAUACCCACAAAUACAGAAGGUCAUAUACGCCAUUCUAAUAACGUCGAGGAAGCUAAAGCACUACUUCGACGGCCAUCGGGUCUUGGUAACCACCAGUUUCCCUCUCGGGGAUAUUCUGCGCAAUAAAGACGCCAACGGCAGAAUUGUAAAAUGGGCAAUGGAAUUAUGACCAUUCUCCCUAGAUUUCAAGAGCCGCACCACAGUCAAGUCUCAGGCCCUGGUCGAUUUCAUCGCAGAGUGGACGAAUCUCAACGAGCCGCCCGUUUCCGACGUCUCCGACCACUGGUCAAAGUUCUUCGACGGGUCCUUGAACAUCAACGGCGCCAGCGCUGGGAUACUUUUCGUGUCGCCUAACAAGGACAAACUGCGCUAUGUCCUUAGCAUCCUCUUUCCGGCGUCAAACAACGUCGCUGAGUACGAAGCAUGCCUGCAUGGCAUACGACUAGCCGUUGAGCUGGGAGUCAAACGCCUCUACAUCCAUGGCGACUCCGCUUUAGUUAUCAACCAGCUCAACAAGGAAUGGGACGCAACCCACGAGAAGAUGGAUCUCUACUGCAAAGAAAUCCGCAAAUGGGAAUCCAACUUCUAUGGCAUAGAGUACAUCCACGUGGUCCGGGAUAAGAACCAGGCAGCGGAUGCACUGUCAAAGUUAGGGUCAUCUCGGGCCCAGAUCCCGCGAGGCUUUUUCGUCCAGGACAUCCAUGAGCCAAGUGUGGGCACAGACCUGGUCGAAAAGCAACCUAAUGAGGCAAUGCUCAUAGACGACGCUACUCCAACAACCAGCAGCCGUGAUUAGCGCACCCCGUUCAUCAGGUAUAUAUCGAACGGGUCGGGCUUCCAGGAUAAAACGGAGAACGAGCACCUCAUUCGGCGAUCAAAGAAUUACAUACUGGUGGAUGGCAAACUUAUGUGAAAAAAUGCAAGUUCUAAAGUGCUGCUCAAAUGCAUAUCCCAAGAUGAUGGCAUCAAGCUCUUGGACGACAUACACGCCGGAUCCUGCGGCAACCACGCGGCCUCCAGAACACUGGUCGGGAAGGCUUUCCGAGAAGGUUUUUACUGGCCAACCGUGGUCGCCGAUGCAGAAAAACUAGUCCGACAUUGUGAAGGAUGCCAGUUUUUCACCAAGAGGACCAACGUACCUGCUCACGAGAUUCAAACUAUUCUGUCAUCCUGGCCUUUCGCCUGCUGGGGCCUCGACAUGAUCGGGCCAUUUAAAUCGGCUCCCGACAACUUCAAGUUCGUCUUCGUGUUAAUCGACAAAUUCUCGAAGUGGAUCGAAUACAUGCCACUGGUCAAAGCAACCUCCGAGAAAGUUGUGGAAUUCCUUAAUCAAAUCAUACACAGAUUCGGGAUCCCCAACAGUGUAAUCACCGACCUGGGCACUCAGUUCACUGGCACUACGUUCUGGGACUUCUGCGAUGACAGAGGCAUAGUCAUAAAAUACGUGUCAGUAGCUCACCCAAGGGCAAAUGGUCAAGUAGAACGCGCGAACAGAAUGAUUAUUGAUGCCCUAAAGAAAAGGUUGUACACCGAGAACGACCGAGCGCCUGGUCGAUGGAUGAAAGAGUUACCGGCCGUGGUCUGGGGUCUCCGAACAUAGGCCAGUUGCAAUACAGGCGUAUCACCCUACUUCAUGGUUUAUGGCUCCGAGGCAGUGCUCCCAUCUGAUGUAACCUUCAGAUCUCCAAGAGUUGAAAACUUCAACCAAUCAACGGCUGACAACGCUAGGGAGCUCGAAAUCAACUGCAUGGAGGAAAAGCGUCUAAUUUCAUGUCUUCGAACAGCAAAGUAUCUCGCAGCCAUCAGACGGUACCGCAACAGGAACGUCAAAGACUGUUCUUUUGUGGUCGAUGAUCUAGUACUCAAGUGGAAAACAAGCCAGGAAGGAACGCACAAGCUAUCCACGCCUUGGGAAGGACCCUUUGUGGUCGCCGAAGUCACACGUCCUACAUCCUACAGAUUGGCGUAUCCAGAUGGAACACGCGUGCCUAAUUCUUGGCACAUAGACAAACUGCACCGUUUUUAUCCAUAAGUUCCAGUACCUUUUGCUUGUAAGUUUCUUAUAAUUAGCAAUAUUAAAAGUUUUCCUUUUUCGCUAUACAUUGUUUACACGCAGAGCUUUCGACGAGCACAACAAUCUUCCUCUGCGGUGAAGAUCCUUAACGACUAUCAAUCAAACACAGUGAUACAUCACUCAGAUAACAUUACAGCGCUCAAAAUCAUGGUCAUGACAAAAUCAAACUUUAUUACAAACUUUACAUACAGAGUUUACAAUAAACACCCCGCCGGGCGGUUACUAGUCUACUCCUACAAACUAUCCUACAAGCCUACUGCUCGGGCUGAUCACCCUCUUGGCCUUGUUGCCCAGACGAAGGGGUCGGGGCCACCGGCGCCUGGAUGUUCGAGACCGCAGGCGUCGACCGCCCAUCUCCGGCAAUGGACGCCCCCGACAACUCCCUGGCCGAUCUGUCUGACCCCGACUGGUCGGGGGGAGUGGCUGUCCCGCAUAGGUUGAUGUCGCCGAUCACCGUCGACGACAAGUCUAGCAGACCAGCUCGAAGGUCGUCUGCCUCCUACUGGCCAACUUCCUUGGGGUACCCCCUCUCCAGCCUGGACAGGUCGACCAGGGGAUAGUGGGCGUGCACCAUGCUGAGGACAUGUGCGCCGGCAAACUCCCCGGCGUCCUUGACGAACUGCUGGAGCCAGUCCCACGCCCAUUGCGCCUUCUCGACUGGCGUCAGCCUCGGCGCGCGGGGCUGGUCUUCAGGAAGCUCGGGGCUGAUCAAGUCCAGAACCGGGGCUACUCCUUUCCAAAGCCUAAUGCAGUUAGUCUUCCAGGAGUCCCGAUCCUUGACCAGCUCGUCUAAAUGCUUUUUAGCAUUCACCUUGAGCACUACAAACCAAGCAGGAGGUCAGUUCAAGAACAAGGAAAGGAACGUUGAGCAACCAAAUAAAAAAAGGGGGUGGCACGGUUAUUACCAGACAGCUCCCAAUUCCUGUGGCUUAGCUCCUCGCCUGCUCGGCGCCCGGCCUCUAGCGCCCCGGCAAGCUCUUGGCCAAGCUGCUCCUUCUCUUGCCGGAGGCGCGCAACCUCCUCCUCCAAGUCUACAGGAACAAUCCCCUGGUCAACAAAACUAACCACGCGGCUAUAUAUAGCUGCUCAGAGUGCGCGACUGACCUGUCCUUUGCCGAUACUGGUCGGCUAAACACCGAGUAAGCUCGAGACGGCGCUCUUCCUGAGCACUCAUCUCGGCCACCUUCUCCCCAACUUCUGACCGAAGCCGGUCCACCUCCGCGGACAGGGCCUUGUUCUCAGCCACAAUGCCCUCAAUUUGGUCGAAGCACCUCUUCCGGUACUUCGCCGUUUUCAUCGCGCCCUGCAAGAAGAACACAUGUCGAACCCAGGAACACAGCACAUAAGUGUCGAGCAGCACAAAGGACCACUUACCUUAACCUCGUCCAAGAGAAGCUUGGCCGCGCGCUCCACCCUCGCGGCCUCUUUCGUCUCCGCGAGCUCCUCGUGUCCGAUGAAGUGGUCCCCGCGUUGGCGCCACACGUAGACGUCCUGGCGGCCGUCACGGGGAUGACCUUCAAUCUCCUCCAUGUCAUCGUCAGAGGCCACCUGGGUCUCCUCGCUCGCUGCACUGCCACCGGCUGUGGUCGCAGGCAUCACAGGCCCCUGGUCCAGGCUAGGGGAGCCUGCAGGCGAAGAGGCCCCUGCCCGGGGCGGUGUUGGCACUCCCCUCUCUUCGGCUGGGGGAGGUGUCGGGACUCUGUCUUCCUCCUCCACGAUGUUACUCGGGGGAGGGGUCCUCGUAGCCUCCUCAUCCCUCGUCGGGGUGCUCGCCGCGGUCUUUACUGAGGCCGGAUGCUCCUCGGCGCUCUCGGCCACGGUUGUUGCCGCGGGCUUCUCCGUGGUCUGCGGCGCGGCGUCCCCAGCGGCAGCAACGGGCUCGGCCACCCUCUGGCUAGCAACGUGGUCAGGAUCGACGUUCGACGCCGCGCUAACAAUAAGACGACAUUUAAACAAUGUCAAAACGCAGCAACAAAACGCAAAACAUCGUAGCGCGAAAGUAAGAAUGCAAACUUACAGGUCAGAGUGCCGGUGCGUUGCGGUGAACCUCCUCCUGGUCCUACCGGUCGGUGCCUGCGCCCCCGUCUCUACGACGCGCGUCGGCUCGACGUGCGGUGCAGGCGGGUCACUGGUCACCCGACCAGUGGUGGCCGGCGCAACGUCCGGACGACUGCGAGGCCUCCGGACCAACGACGGCGCGGCCUCUUCCUGCUCGUCGUCGUCAUCGGUGAUCCGGAUGAGCCGAUGGCGCUUUGGCGCCUGGCUGCUCUCUGCCGGCAGCGUUGCCGCAGGGGAGGGGUCCGCUGCCAGUGGCCUUUUCCCUGCCACUCUGUCCUCGGUGGUUGGGGCGGGGUGGUUCUGCUCCUCCUCACUGCUGGUGUACCGAGUACACCGAGCAGCGUCGUCCUCUGGCGGGUCUUCCCCCGCGGGAUUCUCCAUGCCAGGUGCCAGUGAUACGUACACUGUGCACUGGUCAACGUCUCCAAUCUGCAACAGUAACAAAGACAAGUCAACAACUAGGAAGAACAAGAACUAAGGAGGUAACUUCAGUCAGUAACAUCACCUUAGGAGCUGGUCGCCCCAGCUUGAAGGCCUGCACCCGAUCACCGCCUCGAACGAAGCUGUUAUCUGCAAAGUUGAACAACUCGUUCAACAGAUGUUGCACUUCUGUCUUCUCUAGAACUUCAGGACUCAUCCUGGUCGGGUCCUGACUCCCUGCGUACUCGUACGCCGAAUGUACCCUCUUCGGGCAGGGCAUCACCCGACGACAGAUGAAGUUGCCGACAACUCCUAGCCCGUCUAAAUGCGACCAGUCGAUCAGCUUCAUCAGGUCUUCUACCUGACCGGCCAACUCUGGGCGGUCCGUCCAACUGACCCUCUUCUCGGGAAUGUACCCCACGUCGCAGAACGUGGAGCUGCCCGGCUCUUCCCUGACGUAGAACCACUUCUUGUACCAUUCGGUGAGAGAAGUGUUCCACGGGCAGUUAAGAUACCGGUUCUUCAUCCCGUCACGAAGAUUGAGGUAUACUCCACCUGCAAUCUUGGAGCCUCCAACCGCUCCCUUCUUCCUCAAGCAGAAAAGGUAGCGGAAAAGACCGAAGUGCGGCUCUAUCCCAACAUAGGCCUCGCACAGAUGGAUAAAAGUGGAAAUAAGAAGAAUCGAGUUCGGGUGCAGAUUGCAGAUCCCGAUCUCAUAGUAAAGAAGAAGCCCUUGGAGAAAAGGAUGGACAGGAACCCCAAAACCCCUCUUGAAAAAAUCUUCGAAAACCAUGAUCUCACCGGCACGGGGGUCGGGGUAGCUCUCCCCCUCUGGCGCCCUCCACCCGCCGAGCUCUUGGCUGUGCAGUAGCCCCAUGCCGACGAGGUCGUUGAGGGACCUCACGCUGCUCCGGGACUUCUUCCACUCCUUAGCCAUCAGUUCGGCCCUCUUCUUGGAGUCGCUCUUCGCCAUUGACGCUGCGGAAAUGGAUGCGAGCUAGGCGGACUGAUGGUGGUUGCAGAAGGCAAGAGUGGAAAGCUUGAAGGCAAUGGCAGGGUAAGCAAUACGGGGGGCAAUGUCAAGCUUUUAUAAGCAACAACUCCACCCCUCCCACUUCCCGUAUUCUUGGGAAGUGGGCGGGCCCAACGGCGGACGCGGCGUUUCGGUUUUCAACAAUUACCGGCAGUUAAUACGGCGGCUUUUUCGUAUAAUUGAUGGUUUCCUUUUCUCGAACCGUACAAAGAGCGGCUGCACAGUUACCAGGCGCACCUUUUCACGUAACCAUCUGACAAUGCGUCAGGAGCUCUCGUCACGUCACUCAUUUAUGUGGUAAGAUGCUUUUUUUCAAAAUAACAGACAAAAAUUGGUGGAGGAUCAACGUUCCUGGGGACUGCACCAACCACGGAGCACUGUAUGCUCGGGGACUGGUCACCCAGUCUGCCAGUUAGGAGAUUUGGGGACUGCACCGACCACCGAGCACUGUAUGCUCGGGGACUGGUUGCCCAGUCCGCCAGAUUGGAGAUCUGGGGCCUGCACCGACCACCGAGCACUGUAUGCUCGAGGACUGGUCGCCCAGUCCACCAGAUUGGAGAUCUGGGGCCUGCACCGACCACCGAGUACUGUACACUCGGGGACUGGUCGACCGGCCCGCCAGUUUGGAAGAAUUAGGGACUAUACCAAUCACCAAGGCAUUAUCUGCUCGGGACUGGUUGAUAAGUCUACCCGAUGGCAAACGAGCAUGAGACGCUCGGGGACUGGAUAAUUUUAAUUUUUUUAGACCUUGCUACAAGGCUUAUAUUUCGCCUUCCAGCAAGCUCGGGGACUACAUCGGUACGAUGCAUCUGGCAAUGCAUCUUAGUUUCAGAAUUUCUCUAAGGACUUUUCUUCUGACCCUGGCACCACGUGUCUACGCCACCUACUACUAGGCUCGGGGACUAAGUGGGCACACUUCACCUUGUGGUGAAUAUGCUUGCUUUUAUGAGGUCUAUACUUUUCAGAAAAGUAAAGUGGGCACACUUCACCAGGAAAGAAAUCUUCUUUGAUCUAGAACACCAUGCAUUCUUCGAACAACCUGCUUCUUCGACGUCAGUGUUGGUCGACUGUCUUUUGAGUUGGUCAAAACACCGUUGCAACUGUUUGGGUGAUUUUCCUACUUAUUGAAGGCGUCAAGCUUGAUUGAUCGAAGAAGCUCAAGACGGCGUGCUACAUCACAAUACAUGGUGUUCGGGGACUAGCUGUGGGGGUAUAAACCCCUAUACCCUUACGGCUAGACUUGGGCCAGGAGGCUUGGCCCAUUAUGAGACAAGUUUGAAGCUUGAUCCGACCACUCGGAGAUUCGCGCAAGGAAACAAGACGAGGAGAUCAAGCAGGAUUCUAGUCGGUUAGAAUAGGAAUUGAUAUCGAAUUAUCUAUGGCAGUUGUAACCGACUAGGAUUAGUUUCCAGAUCUGUAACCCUACCCUCCGGACUAUAUAAGGAGGGGCAAGGGACCCCCCUAGGACACAUUAUUCUCUCAAUCCAAUACAAUCAGACGCAGGACGUAGGUGUUACGCCCACACGGCGGCCGAACCUGGAUAAAAAGCUUGUCCGUGUCUUGCGUCACCAUCGAGUUCGUAGUUUGCGCACCGUCUACCGAUAAACUACUACCGUGGGCAUACCCCAAGAUAGACUGCUGACUAGCUUUCAUCGACAACUACUAUCAGGAUGAACAGACAACUUGGAUGAAUGAGCUUCAAAUAAGAUCUGAUUUUGGAGCUCACGGUUCUUUGGUACAACAAGCCGAUCUUUGAACCAUAGAAUUCCGUUCUCAUCGACCCGAAAGUGCUUUGUUUCUUCUUCUUUCAUCUUCCUCUUUAUAUGGUGGAUGCCUACAUCAGUUUGCUGCAACUCAAUGACUCGAUUACGAAGAGAGCUUGCUAAGGCAAUAUUGCGAGCACUAGUGGAUGCAUAAGAUGUGACAAGGGUGAAUCUUUAAUCUAAACAGAAUUGCAGUGCGAUUUCUGACUCAAGGCAUCCGCAACCACGUUUGCCUUGCCCAGAUGGUAGUGCACUUGAAGAUUAUAAUCUUUAAUCAACUCAAGCCACCUUUGUUGUCACAUGUUCAAUUCAGGUUGGGUGAACAUGUACUUGAGACUCUUAUGAUCGGUGUAGAUAUUGCACAGAUUGCCCAGUAAAUAGUGCCUCCAGAUCUUCAAAGCAUGGACAACUACGACCAAUUCUAAAUCAUGAGUAGGGUACUUGACCUCAUGUUUUCAAAGUUGGCAUGAUGCAUAAGCGAUAACGCGACCUUCUUACAUCAGCGCACAGCCCAGACUAAUAGCAAAUGCAUCACAAAAGACAUCGAAAGGCUUCUCGAUAUCGGGUUGAGCUAGGACAGGAGCUGAUGUCAGCAAUGUCCUGAACUUGUGGAAUGCUUCCUCAGAGUCAGGCGUCCACACGAACUUCUCAUCUUUCUAAAGCAAUCAAGUCAUAGGCUUGGAUAUUUUCGAGAACUCCGGAAUGAAACAACGAUAAUACCCAGCCAAACCCAAAAAAACUCUGAACCUCGUGCACUGAAGUUGGGACCUUCCAAUCCAACACUUCUUGCACUUUGGCUGGAUCAACUGAUAUUCCUUCUUCAGACAAGACAUGGCCCAAGAAAGGUACUUUCUUUAGCCAGAACUCGCAUUUGCUAAACUUAGCAUAAAGCUGAUGCUCACAGAAAUGAGUUAACACUACACGCAGGUGCUCUGCAUGUUCUUCUUCAUUGCAAGAAUAUACUAUGAUAUCAUCAAUGAAGACCACCACAAAGUUGUCCAAUUCGGGCAUGAAGACUGAAUUCAUGAGAUACAUGAAGUGUGCAGGUGCAUUCGUAAGACCAAAGGACAUGACGAGAUAGUCAUACAACCCAUAUCUCAUCGAGAAAGCCAUCUUGGGUAUAUCUUCAGGACGGAUCUUGAUCUGAUGGUACCCAGACCGCAAAUCAAUCUUGGAGAAUACCUUAACUUUAGACAACUUAUCAAACAAGAUAUCAAUGCGAGGAAGAGGAUACUUAUUCUUGAUAGUCACCGCAUUCAGUGAGCCAUAGUCCACACACAUGCACAAGGAUUGAUCUUUAUUCUUCACAAAGAUAGCCGGACAACCCCAAGGAGAAGAACUAGGACAAAUAAGACCCUUCUUCAACAAUUCGUUCAACUGGGUCUUAAGCUCAGCUAGCUCAUUCGGUGGCAUUCUAUAUGGCCUUCUAGAGAUAGGAGCAGUACCUAGAAGCAAUUCAAUUUUCUUGUAGUGACUCCACAUCCCGGUCUGGAGGAAGCUCGAGCAAAUCACACCAUCAGAAUAUCCUUGAUGGCCCUAGAUGUAACUAUGUUCAUCAUGCUAUGGAUAUGUAUAUCAUGAGGAAGUUGCACUAAGAACGCCUCCUUAGUACCAGGUUCUCUCAACAUCACCACGCGAGUAGUGGUGUCGAUAAGAACCCCGUUACCACUCAUCCACUUCAUUCCCAGAAUCACAUCUAUGCCCACACGAGGCAAAACAACCAGAUCAGCGAGGAACUGACGGUCUCCUAUUUCUAGAGUUGCCCCCAAAACCACUUGAUUUGUAGAAAUAUUAUUUCCGGCAGCACUAAUGCAAUAACUGUAACAUCUCCGAUGUUACGGUUACUAAAAUCGGAUCAUGUCAUCAUAAGCAUUGCAUGGCAUGUUUGGUAAUCACACCCUGAUGCAUCAACCUAAAACAAGUUUAUUUUGAUUAGUUGUGCUUAGGGAAUUAAAGUGUGUUUAUGUUGUGCAGUAAUGCUUGGCUUGGUUGCUAAAACCCUAGGGUGGGAAUUUUCCGACAGACUAGGGGGGGGGGGAACUCUGAUUUUUGGAACCCUAGAUUUUGCCCCCUUUCACACACUUUGAAAACUAAGCAAAAUUUGGGGUUGAGUUCAAAAUCAAAGUUGUAGAUCUUGUCAAUAUGUACAACUUUGGUGUUUUGAGUUUUUGAAGUUUCAAUACAAAAUUCAAAGUAAUUUUGAAAAUGCAGAUUUCCAGAAAGUGUCCCCUUUUCCAAUUUAAACCUCCAAUCCAAAAUCCAUUUGGAACUUUGAAAAGUUGUCAACAUGAAAGUUGUAGAGCACGAAAAUUUGAACAACUUUCAUGUUGGGAGUUUUUCAAGUUGUUAUGAAAAAUCAAAAGUAAUUUUAGAAAUCCUGAUUUGUCCCCAAUUCAAAAUUUUGAAUUUCUUUGAAUUAGAUUUGAUUUGCAAACUGUUUUGGCUAAAUCACUAGUUUCCAUUCAGAAUCAGCUUGGGACACCUAAAUAUAUUUUGUAGCUUAUAAAAUUGUGCACAACUUUUGUUUUGGUGGAAUCUUGUGCUCAGUUCAAAUUUUGGGUGGAUUUCACAAAAGUUAGAAAAGGAGGGAUAAGGGUCUGCUACAGUGAUCCGAUAUGGAUCACCGGCUCCCUGUCCAGCGCAGCCGCCACGCGAGCAGCGCCGCGCGCAUGCGUGCGUGCACGCAGCUGCUUGCUGCCAGGGUCGCCAGGUGACGUGGAUGCCCCGGGCUUGCUUUCCCCUCCAUUUGAGCGUAGCGUGCACGACGCCGUGCGUUUCCUCCGUCCUGAGCCAAAGAACCCGACGAGCCUUUCUCUCCCAAAUUCACCAUAACCACUUCUUCCCGAGCCAAAUUGAGCAACCCAGAGUCUUCGUCACCUUCGUGCGAACCCAGUGCACCCCCAAGCUCCCUCUCUAACCCCCUCAAACGCCAGAGCUCCCCCCUCUUCUCCAACUCCGGCCGAGACCGCCGCCGCGGAGCUCUUCCCGUGGCCACGGUGUUCCAAUGAGUAUCACACCCCGCUGGCGACUGUUUCAAGUUCCUUCUGUGCCCCGGUUGCUCAUGCGCUCGCUCCCUCUCCUUGAAUGUGAGCAGGAUCGCCGGAACGAGCUUGCCGGAGCCAGAGCUCUCGCCCGACGACACUGUUUCCGUCGCCAGCGGCUUCAGCUGCUUCCCCGAGCCUUGCAGCGUGAGCACCACCCUCCCCAACCCCUGUGGAAGCUCGCUAGGCCGUCGGCUUGCACUCUACCGGGUCCGGGUGGCCGGCCGAUAGUCGGCCAUGGCGGCCGUCCGCCGGUGACGCGGUUGCGAUAGAAAGAAGGCGGUAGAGCACGAGUGAGUGGUAGAGAUCGGUCCGCGGAAGUGAGGCGGAGCUGAUGCGCACGCGCGCGGGGGGCGAGGACCUCGCUAACGGCCGCCGGAGCUGCGGCAGUGCCGUCGCGCGUGAAGGGGGCGAAGCUGACAGGUGGGGUCGUCCUGUCAGCGUCUCGUAGGAGGGGGAGAGAGCCUGACGAGCAGGGCCCGCUCGUCAGCGACCACACAGAGAGGGGGCAGCGCGCGCAGUGUCCGCGUGGACCGAGCACUCGGGCCGACUUGGGCCAGGUCCAAGCAGGCCGCCAGCGUGGCACAGUGCCCUUUUCUUUUUCCUUUUUGUUUAAAAGUGCUUGAUGUUUGAUUUUGAAUAGUAAAUUCUGUGUUGAUUCAAAAAUUGUGAAAAUUUUUGUAAAUGUUCCAUAAAUUAAGAAGAACAUAGGAAAAAUACUAAAUUUCGUUUUCUGAUAAUAUAAACAUAUAUACAAAUUCUGCCUUUUAGUUAAUAAAUGGAACUUACAAGAAUUUUAAUAAUUUAUUAGUAUGUCCAAAAAUCACCAAACAUUGUGGGAUGCCUCUGAAUAUUAUUCCCUGGCUCCACACAAAAUUUGGUGGCAUUUGGAUAAUGUUUGAAUAAAAUAUUAAUAAACUCUUAUUUAGUAAUUAAAUAAUAAUUCCAAAAUAAUUAGAUAGUGAUUAGUUAAAUCCUCAUAAUUAGGGUUGAGUGAUUUUGGGAUUCUGUGAUGACCUGAGGUCAUUAACCCUAAUGACCUUUGGCAUUUAAUUAUUGUUUAGCCUUAAUGCUUAAUUACUGUCAUUAGUGAUUACUUAAGAGUUAAUUAAGGUAAAUAGGAUUAAUAAUUAGUUAAUUUAAGAUAAUUAUGAAUUAAGAAGAGUCUUAAUUUACAGAUGCAACCUCUUGGGUAAAAACACUAAAAUGGUAAACAACUUUAAUUAUUGUUUAUUCUGUGUUGCACCGAGAAGGCAAAUUGUACUCGACUUGAUCCUUCUUGUAUAUUUGUCAUACGCAUAUCAUGAGCAUUCAUCAUUUUGCGUAUAGUAUCCGUGACCGAAGGGGCGCCCGUUGAACCAAACCCUGAGGUCGGUGCUCCGUUCGAGGAAGUCGGAUCCGAGACUUGGGAAGUCUCCGAGGGUCCCUCUCUGCCCUGCAACCAAGGCAAGCCCCGGAUGCAUUAACCCCUCCUUGAAUGUUUUAAAUCUUUUAUCACUUAUAAAUUGAAAAUGCUGCAUUAGGUAGUUGAGAAUUGGGUUAACCUACUUGCAGCAUUUACUACCUUGAUAUCUGUUAUCCUGUCCUUGACACCUGUUUAUUUUCAAAACUGCGUAGUGAUGCUUAGCCCUGCUACUAGAUAGGUUUUCAAAUAAGAAAGUUUGAAGGGUUGUUGUGGAAUACAUUUAUGAUCAAUGAUGUUUAAUCUGAGACCGGUCGGUGGACUUCCUUUAAGAAUGGAGUCUUAAAGUAGUGUCUCCAACUGUGUCGGUUAAGGACCGGUCCGUUGAUGGCCCGCUGGGUUGAGAAUUUAUAGUACUAGCCACUUGCCCUUGGUAAGCUCGGUCUUGUGAUCCCUCGACGCGAACAGCUACUCGCGCACUGGGAGUGGAAAGAUGGCGAGAGUAGUAUGUACCCACCUUACGGAUCUGAGAUGACCGGAAAACAUCUAGAUCGGCUGUAGGAUGGUGGAGUACUGUGCUCUCGGGUGCCGCGAACCUGGUCAAAUUUGGGGAGAGCUUGAUUUGGGUUGACAUAUGCAGGUUUUGGUUCUACAUAUGUUGGGUGGUUAGGAACUCCAGCUGGAUUGCUAAGCGGUUCGAAUCGUCGUUGCUCCCCGAUUGGGAGACUCAAUCCACUGCCCCUCAUCGUAGUUAAAUAUGCAACUAAGUGAUAAAAUGAGAAGGGGGAAAUGUCUCAUGGAGUUCGGAUCCCAAUUCCCGGACUCAAAGCGACAUGAAGCUAUGGUCGUCGGAGAGAAAGUACUUUGAUUAAGGACUAGGAACUUGCAGACUUGUCUGUGAGAGAUAACUAGAUAGACUGUCCUCGAACUCCUCGGCCUCUGCGGGGGAGGAAUUCGCGGGUAAAACUUGAAAUAAGGAUGCACUAUUAGUAAGCUUUUUAGCAAAACACUUUGGCUCCUUGCUCAGCCACUCCUUGUCUACCCUAAGCCUGCAUUCCUACCUUCUCCUAUUUUUCCAUCGGGUAAGUCUUGUUGAGUACUCCCGUACUCAGGGUUUUCCAACCCCCUGUUGCAGGUGAAGCUCAGGAGCCGACUUGUUUCGGACCCUGUUGUGUGACCGUCGUCGAGGUUGAUGACGAGGAGGAAUGAGCGUGACCCAUGGGCAGGGUCUGUAAAUUUGUAAUCUCUGUACUAAAGCUUAAGUUGCUCCACUGGACCUGGUUUGUAAUAACACUCUGCUAUUUGGAAGAACUCCUUUUGUAAAAUAAGCUAUGUAAUACUUCCGCUGUUUCACUCUGAAAUAUUAUUUUGGUCGUAUGUCGUUUGUGGUACUGCAUUGUCUUCGCAACGAAUGAUCCUGGUGUUAAGGUGGCCACUUGCUAUCCUGUAAGGGCGAGAAGAAGAAGUUCUCGUUAAUUGACCAUUACUAGUGGUCAGGACGAGCCGGCUUGGCACGCCACAGGUAGCAGUGGAAUGAGCGUCCAGCGAUGCUCAUCGGACUCCUAAAGUGGGAGGAUCCCCGGCAUCGCCGUCAGAGGUCCUUAGGACAAUGACAGGUGUCGGUGGGCCCAAAAACUUAGGGGGUUCUGCCACAAUAACUGCCUUUAUCAAGUGUAACUGCCAUGAGAUUAUGCUUAGACACAAAAUCUGAACUCACAAAGGAAUGUAAUGCUCCCAAAUCAAAAAGCACAAGUGCAUCACAUUAGUUAACCAGGAACUUACCAGUCGUGACUACCUCACCAGCAGGGAAGGCUUCCACUAUAGUAUAGUGAACACGACCCUGACAGACGCUCCCUUGGUUGGCCUUCUUCAGUGGGUAAGGGUAGUUGCUUUGCUAAUGCCCUGUCUGAUUGCAGUUCCAGCACGGGCGAUUAGCAUGUGGAGUCUUGGCAUAGCUGGGCCUAGUGUUCCCCCUAGGAAGAGUAAUAGAGUACCCCUUGCAAAAUCCUGUCUUCGCCUGAUUCUUCUUUGGUAGAGGACGGUAUCGCAUAUUAGGAGUUGGAGUACGAUACUGGGGCUUAGCUGCCACUAGAGCCUUGGAUUGAGAUGCCCCGGCCUCAAAAGCUCGCUUGCGAGUUUUAGUCGCAGUGUACACAGUAUUGUAAUUCUCUUGAGUAAGAGCAUCACUAACAAACUCAUUGAAGGUGACACACUUAGUGUGUCCCAUAGUCUUCAACAGUUUGGGGCCAAGACCCCUCUUGAAGCUAACAAUCUUGGCUUCGGUGCUCACAAACUCAUUUGCAUACCUUCUGAAAGGUCCAAAUGGCUAGAGGGGGUGUGAAUAGCCUAAUUAAAAUUUCGACAAACUUCACUAAGCAAGCGAGUUAGUACAACAAAUGGCGAAGCAAAUCUAGCACUAGCUCAACUAAGCUAUGCAAGCCACCUAUACAAACUAGUACAAGGCUAAACACUAAAGCACAACAACAAGAGAAAGGCUAGUUACACUCCUAAACAAGAAGACUAAACUAAACAAGCUAAACAACUAGCAAGGUAAACAAGUAAGUAAAGGAGUGGAGAGUGAUUGUUAUACCAACGUUGUAGAGUAGAGAUAUAACCAACCAAUCACUCACAAUCACAAGAGAAUCCUCGGCAAGAGAUGACACAAGAUUUUUUACCGAGGUUCACUUGCUUCCCGGCAAGCUACUCCUCGUUGUGGCGAUACACCCACUUGAUGGAUCACGAGCUAAUUGGCAAUCCAAAGCCAAACCCUCAGCGGGUGCCGCACAUCCACUCACAAGAUGGGGGUCCUCCAAGCCACGAGCAAUCCACUAGAGUAGCCAAUUGCGAUCUCCCGCGGGGAAGGCUCAAGAACCCCUCACAAGUCACUUGGUGAGGCUCGAAACAAUCUCCAAUCACGAGCUCAACACCACCGCUGCUCCAAGCCGUCUAGGGCGUCGGGAAACACCCAAGAGUAACAAGAGAUCCGCAGCAAACUCAAGAAUCAAGUGCCACUAAAUGCAACUCUCAAAGCAAUGCAAUUGAAUCUCACUCAAUCUCACUAGAAUUAGCAAACAAGCAAGGAGAUGAGUGGAGGGAGUGUUCUCUAGCUCAAAGUAUGCCUCAAGUAUUCAAAAGUGCCAGAGAGAACCUCCCAAAGCCGGCCACCCUCAAAGAAACUAGCCGUUGGCCACUUUCACUGGGCUAAAAUCGGAGGCACCGGACGCUACUAAGUGAUCGCCGGACGCUCGACCCCCAGCGUCCGGUGCUCAGGGAUAGGCCACGUGUCCUCUUUGAAUCUCGCGCGUCAGUUUCUAACGGCUACCUGCAACACACCGGACGCUCUGCAAGUCCACACCAGACACGUCCGGUGCACACCGGACUCAUGCGCAGAGAGUUUGUCAAACUCGCGACCUCACCGGACGCUGGGCACCGGACGAUCCAUUGCUCAGCGGACUCGUGCGCACAGAGGGUUGCAAAAACCCUCACACCGGACGCUAACCACCGGACGCUACCAGAGUGCGUCCGGUGCUCAACCCUAGCAGAGUCAAGCUCUGACAGUACACCGGACGCUCGGGCCAGCGUCCGGUGCCUCCGCACUGAGCGUCUGGUGAGUGUUUCCAACUGAGAAACACUCCCACGACUUCUCCAAAUUUCCCACCGGCACAAUAGAAAAUAUACACUUAAUUUUCUCAAAAGCGCCGACAAGUGUGCACCACCUUUGGAAAUAUGCUAACACUAACAAGGGAGAGAGGAACCCACACCCCUCUCAACCCUAGGAACUCCACCUCCUUUGGAAAUGUGCUAACACCAACAAGUGUCCACCACCAAAGUGCAAGUGUGUUAGCUUUUCACAAACAUUUUCACCAAAGGAGUUAAGUUAGCACUUUACUAGAUCCUAAUGCAUAUGCUCAAGAUGUAGACCUAGUAGCACUUGAUUCGAGAGAUGACCGUGAUUUCCCCUCUUGAUAGUCGGCUAUCUAUCCUAAACCCGGUCAAUCACUUCUCUACUCAUCUUAGACCGGCAAAAGUAAAACCCUAUGUUUAUACCUUUGCCUUGAUAACUUUGCUCCUCGUCUAUCACCAUGAUCUUCACUUCAUGAUUCAUCCCUUUGUGAUUAUGUGGCCACCUUUCCAUGCCACCAUGCCCCUUCAUCACAUGUGUUGCUAUGCCUAACUCAAAUCACUUAAACAUAAGGCAUUAGCAACUUGGUGUCAUUAAUUACCAAAACCAAACUUGGGCUUUCAAUCUCCCCCUUUUUGGUAAUUGAUGACAACCAUCACAAAGAUAUGAAAUGAAAUCAUAAUGAACUUGAAUUGCUUGUCCAAAGCAUUUUAAUCAUGAGACAAGGUUGGACAAACAUUUCAAUUUCAGUUUUGGUAGUACUAGCUCCCCCUACAUAUGUGGUUCCAUGAGUUUGGUUCAAGUUUGCACAUAUGCAUGAAUUUGAAUUUUGGGAGAUUUAUUACUACCAAAAUGAUGCUAAGGUGUAUAGAAUGGACCUUUGAAGCGUGAUACCAAUCGGAGUUGCCAAUAUACCAUCCUUAGCACCAAUGUAUCUAGACAUACAUCAAAAACUCAAGAUACCUCGUGAGAUCACAUUAUAUGUCUAGAAACCACAAGAAAAUAAAAACUCUAUACUAGAAUUCAAAGCAUCAUUCAAGUUUUAUUUCUAGCUAACAUCAAUCAAACAAGAGUAGUGAAUUUAAACUUGUAAUGCAACACCUCAUUAUGUUAGUGCACAUACAAAUGCAACAAAUGGUUCAUGAGCUUGCUCCCCCUAUUUGUGUGCUCAUGUUUUAAUUUAUCCAUUUCAAUUUUUAGAAGUUAUCUCUCCCCCUUAAGCACUUUUGUCCCCCUUUAUGACUUUAUCUUUGUUUCUCUCCCCCUUUGUCAUCAAUGACCACAAAGGUUCAAAUUUUAGUGAGAAUUAAGUCAAUCAAUGUGAGGGUCAAAUUAUGGUUCAAUCUAGAUCACUUGCCUGAAACAUGUAAUUCGGUUUGAUCCAAGGACAAGCUUUUUCACUCCUCAUAAAGUAUAAGGGUUAUCAUGACCAUGUCGAAUUACACAUCAUAAGCUCAUAUUCUAGAUUCAACACUAGGCUUGCAAGCUCACAAACAUGUCAUAUGCUACCACUAGAUCAAUCAAACAUAGACGCAAUAGUGGUACCAUACAUACAUCAAACCCUUUUGAUUUUCAUGAAUGAGCCUAUUGUCAUGCAAGCAUGUCUAUAUGUUCUAAACAUGUCCUUAGCAAAGUAUGAAUGCUAUGUCAACCAACUUUACCUUGUUUUGUUGGAGGAGAGGCAUGUCAUAUAUAAAUGUGGGGGUGCACUCAUCUCAAGUUGGAGAAGUCAAGUAUGUUCAAUUCAUUCCUCAACUUGCAAAAUCUCUUCUCAUCAAGUGGCUUUGUGAAGAUGUCGGCUAGUUGAUCUUCGGUGCCAAUGCUUUCAAUGCUAAUAUCACCCUUUUGUUGAUGGUCUCUUAUGAAAUGGUGCCUUAUAUCAAUGUGCUUGGUUCUUGAAUGUUGAACCAGAUUUUGUGUCAUCUUGAUUGCACUCUCAUUGUCACAUAGCAAAGGCACAUUCUUGAAUUUGAUUCCAAAGUCAUUCAAGGUAGCUUUCAUCCAAAGCAAUUGUGCACAACAACUACCGGCACUAAUGUAUUCGGCCUCGGCGGUUGAUAGUGCAACACUAUUUUGUUUCUUUGAUGACCAUGAAACUAGAGACCUUCCCAGCAAUUGACAAGUGCCACUUGUGCUCAUUCUAUCAAUCUUGCAUCCACCAUAGUCGGAGUCCGAAUAUCCAAUCAAUUCAAAGUUAGACCCCUUGGGAUACCAUAAUCCAAUAUCAUGAGUGCCCUUAAGAUACCUCAAUAUCCUCUUGGUUGCCUUCAAGUGACUCUCUCUAGGUGAAGCUUGGUAUCUUGCACAUUUGUACACACUAAACAUUACAUCCGGCCUUGAUGCGGUGACAUAGAGCAAACUUCCAAUCAUGGACCGGUAUAGCUUUUGAUCUACCAUGUUGCCACUUGCAUCACUACCUAAUUGAUCAUUUGUGCCCAUAGGUGUGCUCAUUAGUUUAGCUUCUUGCAACCCAAACUUCUUGAUCAUGUCCUUGAUGUACUUUCCUUGACUCACAAAGUGCCAUUCUUCAUUUGCUUGAUUUGAAUACCAAGGAAGUAACUAAGCUCUCCAAUCAUGGACAUCUCAAAUUCAUUGCCAUCAUUUUUCCAAACUCUUCAUAAAAGUCUUGAUUGGUUGAUCCAAAGAUGAUAUCAUCAACAUAGAUUUGCAACACAAACAAGUCAUUGCCUAGCUUCUUGGUGAAGAGGGUAGUGUCAACCUUCCCCAUCUUGAACCCUUUAGAGAGAAGGAAAUCUCUCAAUCUCUCAUACCAUGCUCUAGGUGCUUGCUUCAAACCAUACAAUGCCUUCUUGAGCUUGUAAACAUGGUUAGGUUUCUUGUCAUCUUCAAAACCGAGAGGUUGUUCAACAUAAAUCAACUCAUUUAUGUAUCCAUUGAGGAAUGCACUCUUCACAUCCAUUUGAUAGAGCUUGAUGUUGUGGGCACAAGCAUAGGCUAAUAAUAUUCUAAUUGCCUCCAAUCUUGCAACCGGUGCAUAUGUUUCUCCAAAGUCAAGACCUUCAACUUGAGUGUAGCCUUAUGCUACUAGUCUUGCUUUGUUUCUCACAACUACACCAUCUUGAUCUUGCUUGUUUCUAAAGACCCACUUGGUACCAAUCACAUUGCAGUUCUUUGGCCUCUCAACAAGUUCCCACACUUGAUUUCUUGUGAAGUUGUUCAAUUCUUCAUGCAUGGCAUUUACCCAAUCGGAAUCCUUCAAUGCAUCUUCUAUUUUCUUUGGUUCUUCAAAUGAGACAAAUGAGUAGUGCUCACAAAAGGAUGCUAGUCUUGAUCUUGUUUGAACACCACUUUGAAUACCACCAAUGACUUGAUCCAAUGGAUGAUCUCUUGCUAUGCUUGUAGGUUGGAGUAUUGGGAGUUGAUUGCUUCCACUAGCUUGAUUUUGAUUUUGAUCAUCAUCAUGAGAGCCACUAGUACUUGCUUGAUUUGUAUCAAUUUGCACUUCUUGAUUGAUCAUGUGAAUGUCAUUAUCCUCAUCAACUUGCCUUGGCCUUAUGUCACCUACAUCCAUGUUCUUCAUUGCAUUUGCCAAUUGAUCUCCCCUCACAUCAUCAAGAUUUUGAGCUUCAUUUUGAGAUCCCUCGGUUUCAUCAAACUCAACAUCAUGGACUUCUUCCAAUGUGCCACUUGCUAAGUUCCAAACUCUAUAUGCCUUGCUUAUGGUGGAAUAACCAAGUAAGAACCCUUCAUCACAUUUCUUCUCAAACUUGCUCAAUCUAGUGCCUUUCUUGAGAAUGUAGCAUUUACAACCAAACACUCUAAAGUAUGCAAUGUUGGGCUUUCUUCCAUUCAAUAGCUCAUAUGGUGUCUUCCCAAGCUUCCCAUGGCAAUAGAGACGGUUGCUACAAUAGCAAGCCGUGUUGAUGGCUUCACUCCAAAAUAAAUGGCUAACAUUGUACUCACUAAGCCAUUCGCCAUAAAUCACGUAUGACUUGGCCCCUCGAGCGACACGGCGGGCCUCUGAUCGAUCUUCUGGUAGCUCGCAGCGGAUUAGGCAGUCGAGGAACGGUGUGCGCCAGUCGAACGGUCGACCAGCACCAACUGUCUCCAUCACCUCUGCUGCCAUCAGCAGUGCGUCGACGGUGUCGAUUGGCUGGGCGGGAGUGGCAUCGACACCAGCCCCCGAGCUCAAGUCGACGGAUGGUUCGUGUAGAUCUCUUGAGAAUGCGUCAGGUGGCACCGUGCCUCUAGUCGACGCGAUCUUGGCGAGUUCGUCGGCUGCCUCGUUGUAGCGUCAGGUGACGUGGACGAGCUCGAGGCCAUGGAACUUGUCCUCGAGUCGACGAACUUCUUUGCAGUACGCCUCCAUUUUCAGGUCGUGGCAGCUCGAAGUCUUCAUCACUUGGUCGAUGACGAGUUGGGAGUCACCUCGGACGUCGAGGCGUCGGACUCCUAGCUUGAUGGCGAUCUUGAGACCGUUGACGAGGGCCUCGUAUUCUGUGACAUUGUUGGAUGCGGCAAAGUGAAUCCUGAUGACGUACCUCAUAUGGACGCCCAAGGGCGAGAUGAACAGCAGGCCGGCCCCGGCCCCCGUCUUCAUGAGUGACCCAUCGAAAUACAUCGUCCACAGCUCCGACUGGACCUGAGUUGGGGGAAGCUGGGAGUCUGUCCAUUCCGCGAUAAAGUCCACCAGAGCUUGCGAUUUGAUGGCCUUGCGAGGCACGUAAGUGAGAGUCUCACUCAUGAGCUCGACCGACCAUUUAGCUAUUCUUCCCGUGGCUUCCUUGUUCUGGAUUAUCUCGCCCAAGGGGAAAGACGAGACCACCGUGAUGGGGUGGCCGAGAAAGUAGUGCUGCAGCUUGCGGCGGGCGAGGAUUACGGCGUAGAUCAGCUUCUGGAUUUGGGGGUAACGUACCUUGGUCUCCGAAAGCACCUCGCUGACGAAAUAGACUGGCCUCUCGACUGGUAGCGCAUUCCCCUCCUCCUGCCUCUCGACCACCACCGCUGCACUGACGACCUGGGUCGUCGACGCAACGUAAAGGAGCAGUGGUUCUGUAUGUUGAGGUGGGACCAGGACUGGUGCUGAGGUCAGUGUAUUCUUCAGCCUUUCGAGAGCUUCCUCGGCCUCGGGGGUCCAGGAAAAACGCUCGACCUUCUUCAAAAGUCGGUACAACGGUAGCGCCUUUUCUCCUAGUCUCGAGAUGAAAUGGCUCAGAGCCGCCAGGCAUCCCGUGACUCUUUGUACACCCUUGACGUCUCGGAUUGGCCCCAUUCUCGUGAUGGCCGAGACUUUCUCGGGGUUGGCCUCAAUGCCGCGCUGGGAAACAAUGUAACCCAAGAGCAUGCCUCGAGGCACGCCGAAGACGCAUUUCUCAAGAUUGAGCUUGAUCUGGUUGGUGCGUAAGCAGCUAAAAGCGAUCUCGAGAUCCUGGAUCAGGUCCCCUCGCCGCUUUGAUUUGACAACAAUGUCGUCGACGUAGGCCUCGACCGUCGUCCCUAUGUGUUCGCCAAAUACGUGGAGCAUGCAGCGUUGGUACGUGGCUCCCGCGUUUCGAAGCCCAAACGGCAUAGUUAUAUAGCAAUACAUUCCAAAAGGUGUGAUGAAAGAGGUCGCGAGCUGGUCGGACAACUUCAUUUUUAUUUGAUGGUAACCAGAAUAUGCAUCAAGGAAAGAAAGGGUUUCACAUCCCGCAGUAGAUUCGACAAUCUAGUCAAUACGUGGUAAUGGAAAAGGAACUUUCGGACAUGCUUUAUUUAGACUUGUAUAAUCGACACACAUCCUCAUUUUCCCAUUCUUUUUCUUAACUAGUACAGGGUUUGCUAACCAGUCGGGAUGAUGAACCUCCUUGAUGAAUCCGGCCGUCAAAAGCUUGUGGAUUUCCUCGCCAAUGAUCUUGCGCUUCUCCUCAUCGAAUCGGCGCAACCGCUGCUUCACUGGCUUGGAACCGGCUCGAAUCUCCAAGGAGUGCUCGGCGACUUCCCUCGGUAUGCCUGGCAUGUCCGAGGGACUCCAUGCAAACAUGUCGGCGUUCGCACGGAGAAAGUCGACGAGCACAGCUUCCUAUUUGGGGUCGAGGUCGGCGCUGAUCGUCAGCACCUUGCCGUCGGAGCUGUUGGGGUCGAGCGGGAUCUUCUUGGUUCCCUCUGCUGGCUCGAAGUUGCCCGCGUGGCACUUGGGCUCUGGAGCCUCAGCGGCCAGGGCUUCGAGUUUCGUGACGAGCUCGGUGGAGUUCUCGACCGCCUCCCCAUACUCGACACACUCGACGUCGCACUCGUAAGCGUGCUCAAAGGAGGAGCUAACGGUGAUGACGCCUUUGGGACCGGGCAUCUUCAGCUUCAGGUAGGUGUAGUUGGGUAUAGCCAUGAACUUGGCGUAGCCCGGGCGCCCGAUGAUGGCGUGGUACGUGCCACGAAACCCGACCACCUCAAAGGUGAGGGUCUCCUUCCUGAAGUUGGCCGCCGUGCCAAAGCAGACUGGUAGGUCGAUUCGACCUACGGGCAGCGCCUUUCUUCCUGGCACGACGCCAUGGAAACCGCCGGCACUUGGCUGGAGCCUUCCCCUAUCGAUGCCAAGGAGGUCGAGGGUCUCGAGGUAGAUGAUGUUGAGGCUGCUGCCUCCGUCCAUUAGCACCUUGGAGAGCCGGGUGUUGAUGAUGAUAGGGUCGACGACGAGCGGGUAGACACCUGGGGUGACUACCUUGUCGGGGUGGUCCUCUCGGUCGAAGGUGAUGGGGGUGCUCGACCAGCUGAGGUACCGGGGCACCGCCAUUCUUGCCGCGAAGACCUUACAGCGUUCCUUUUUGCGCUGCCUCGCGGUCAACUGUGUCGAAGGCCCACCAUAGAUCAUGUAGCAGUCGUGGACGGCGGGGAAGCCGUCGUCGUCCUUGUUGUCCUCUUUGUCGCCGCCCUUCUCCUUCUUUGAGUCGUCACGCUCAUCCCUUUUGAACCCUAGACCGUCGAAAUGCCUUUUCAGCAUACGACAGUCCUUGAGCUUGUGGUUGGCGCCUCCCUUAUGGUAAGGGCAUGGCUCUUCGAGCAUCUUAUCGAAAAUACCUCCAUCUGGGGGGCCUCGAGGCUUCUUCCACUCCGUGGCAGCGACGAGAUCGUCGUCGAAGUUCUCCUGCUUGUACUGCCGCACUUUCUGCUUUUUCUUGUUCUUCUUGAGCCCUCGACUGGGGGUCCCUUCUUCAUCAGUAGGCUGCUUGCCUUUACCUCCUUCUCCACUGAAGAAGGCACCGACCGCUUCUUCCCCUGCCGCGUAGUUUUCCACUACGUCCAUGAGCUCAUCGACGGUCUGAGGUCGAUUCCGACCCAAUUCCCGCACCAAGUCUCGACUGGUGGUACCAGAGACAAAGGCCAGGAUGACGUCGUGGUCGGGGAUGUGUGGCAGCUCGGCGCGCUGCUUCGAGAAGCGUCGAGCAUACUCUCGAAGAGUUUCUCCUGACUUCUGUUUGCACUUGCUGAGGUCCCACGAGUUCCCAGGCCUUAUGUAGGUCCCUUUGAAGUUACCCUCGAAGACUCUGACUAAAUCGACCCAGUCGUGGAUCUGAUUAGCCGGAAGUUCCUCGAGGCACCGACGGGCGGUGUCGGAGAGGAAGAGCGGCAGCUGUCUGAUGAUGGCUCGAUCAUCACCUCGAGCGCCUCCUAGCUGACAGGCCAGCCUAAAAUCGGCCAGCCACAACUCCGGUUUAGUCUCACCAUUGUAUUUCGCGAUGCUGGUCGGGGGUCGGAAAGGACUGGGCAGGGGCGUGCUGUGGAUUGCCCUGCUGAACACCCGUGGGCCUGGCGGCUCGAGGGCCACUCGGUCCUCAUCGCUAUCGUACCUCCCACCGCGAUGUGCGCUAUAACCGCGCUCUUCCGCGUCUCCGUGCCGGCGAUGUCGAUUUUCUUUGAUGUCAUGCCUUGCGUCGUGUCGACGCUGAUUGUCGACGGGGAGGACGAGGGUGGUCUUUCUUCCUCGAGGGGGCGGCUGUUGAUGGACCGACACUUCCUUUUCGUUUUGAGGCGGCUCGUCGCGCUUUUCAGUGGCUGCUCCUCGUCGCCGAGAAGCUGAGCUUUCGGCUUGUUGAACUGCCGCCACCUGGAGCAGAGUCUGUACCUCGUCUCGAAUGCGUCGAGCCUGGGAGUUCGAUGGUUCGGGCAUGUUGCGCAGUAGCAUUGUCGCCGCUACUACAUUAUGGCCCGCUCGAGGGAAACGGCUGACAGGCUGCUCUGGCUCUGCGUCUCCGACGAUUUGUCGAUGUACCUCUCGAGCGCGUCUGCGGACACUUCCGCCCGGCGGGUAGGGCAGGUCUUGCUCAAGGAUUUGCUUGAGCAGGACGAGGCGUUCACGGUCUUCGUCGAGCUUCAUCUUGAGCUCCCGCAGCUGUGCAAGCUGCGCAGCCCUGUCUUCCUGUGGAGGGGGGUUAACCUGUCCGUGGUUCCCAGGCGUCCUGGGAUCUUCCCGUGCUGCAGGGGCUCGACCGCCCGCAGCAGCAUCCUGCGUCUCGUCGGUAGUUUCUACCGCUUCCGUCGACGUGAUAGCAUUCCCUUGUAGGGUCGUAGCUAUCAGUCUCGGAGUCGGAGUCCAACUCGGCGGCGUAGAAACAUCCUCGUCCCUCCUCCAGCAGCCGCUGCUUGAGUGAGGUGAUCGUGUAUCGCCCGGGGCCUAGGCGGCGGAGGCCUCGUACCUGGGAGAAAUCCGGCAGCUCGGACGUCGGCCGUAGUGCUCCAGAGUCACGUGGGAGGACCGUUGGUCUCUCCACAUACGUCUGGGCAUUUGGGCAUAUUGCUCUGGCGAGCGAUGCCGCGGCGUUGUCUAAUCUGAAUGGCAGUGCCCUUCUUGGAGUAGACAUCCCGCGUGGAAGUAGCUUAGCAGCGGUGGGGGAGGGCGCGCGAGACAUGUCCCCUCCCGUCAUCGUGUGGUGUUGAGCCGUCGUGCCUGCGGUUCCGGCACAUGGUGUUGCCGGCUCGCGGCUCACCUCCUGCCUCGUACGAGCCGCCGGUCGUGAUGAGGCAGAGGGGCGGCGGUGGUGCUGUCCGCGCCUCUUCUUGGGCGGGGAGGCGUGGUGGCGAGGGCGUCUCGGGGCCCUCAACCGUGCUGGCGCAAUGCGGGCUCCUCCCGGUCCUUUGACUGAGAGCAAGAUCAUGUCGUAGCCGGAGCCCGUAGACAUGAACUCGAGACUCCCAAACCAAAUCACCGUGGAGCGCGGAAUCGGCGAGGCAAGUGCUGCCAUCUGGAAAGGAGUGGGAAAUCGAUGAAAAAACACGCAGCACCCCUACCUGGCGCGCCAACUAUCGGUGUUUUCCCCACGGGGGGUAACACCAACGAGUAAAUUUGUAUGCGUGCUCCCUUUCCCAGAUGGUGAUGCAAGAAGACACAAAGAUUUAUCCUGGUUCGGGCAAGAGAAGGCCCUAUGUCCAGCGGGGGAGGGGAGUCUGUAUUAUCUCGCACCUAAGUGCUUGUACAGGGGUGAAUACAAGCGUGGUAUGAAGUAUGGGAGUUCUACUGCGUAUGGGUCUCCUGCCGUUCUAUUCCUGAGUCCCUCCUUUUAUAGCUCCAAGGAGAGAGCUAGGGUACAUGUGUAAGUGUCAGAGUAGGGGUCGAUAGCAGCAUGGAGUGCUGACCUACACGAGGCUUCCGUACCGGCAUGGCCUCGAGCUGUCCCGUCUUGAUAGCCUGGUGAUGAUUACGCGUGCCCCUGCAUUCUGCUCUGCGCGCCGUCUUGCGUUGGUUCAACGGUCGCACGCUUGUACGAUAUGGCGGCAGAUCCGGUGGGGUGGUCGUGGUGUUGUCAGUCGACGCCCAACUCGUCCCCAGGAUAGGACCCUGUUCGGUCGAGGGUCAGACGCCGUGUAAUGUGCCGAUAUUCGGAGCGCUGACCUUGGAUGUCUCGAGGGGGUCCCGAUUAGAUGUCCCAUCCUCGUUUCCUGCGUCCUGACACGACCUGGAUUGUUUGGUGGGGAAGGCUGCAAAAAGAACGAUGGGACGGGUGCCUGUUUCCUAUCACGCUUCCCGUGGUCAGUGUGUUAGGUGGGAAAACAGCAGGUGCAUUAAAUGCCCUGGCUCUCGUGCGCGCGUCAGGCGGCGGACAGUGUACUUGCGCUCGACGCUUCCCGAUUCGCUCGAGCUCGUCUCCGUGUUCGACGGUAGCUAGCGCUCGACCCCCGAUCGAUUCGCUCGACGCUAUUUCCGUCUUCGAGGUUGCGGACGUCGAUGGCUGCGUAUAUAUACGGCCAGAGCGUCGAGUUGAGGGCCUCGUCCUGCGUAUGGAUAGUCUCGUUACGUGCAUCGGUGAGGGAACCCCUUAUCGAUACCCUCGACAGAGGGUUUCGCGGCGAGCUAGGUGGUGGAGAUUGAAGAGCAGGGUACGGCGGAGCUGCUGGUGAACUUUGGUGGAUGGCGGUGCAGUGUGGUGCGCGCUCGAGCUCGCAGGAGUGAGCCCGACAAUGGCGACUCCGCUGCCGUCGCGUUUCUCUGAGAGAAAGGAGAAAGGGAGAGAAUGAGCGCGUCUAGGAGAUCGAGGACGACACCAUGGAGGUCAUGCACGCCCUCAACACUGACGAGCGGGGCCAAGAGCAGCGUACGGGCACCAAAAGGCGAAUAGAUGCUGCCGCCGGUCGGCCACAUCGGCGACUGAAGCUUCCUAUUUAGAACUCAAUUCAGUGACUGCAGAGUUACUUUGCCGGCGAUUAUUUCCCAAAUCGUGGCGAAUUAGGAGAUGGUGUAGUUGACAAUCUUGGAGUACUAACUGAGUUCUACAUGUUUGUCAACUGGAGCAAAAGCCAAAUCAGCCUGGAUGAAAAGAUAUAGAGCUUCCAAAAACCUUCAGACAAACUGGUGGCGCUAGGACUUGGUAAAAUUUUGCUAAGUGUCAAAACAGCCCCCAAUUCUUCCUUGUGAGCCCUUUUUGGGCAAGUUUUGGUCAUUUUCUUGAUAUGGCCAUAAAACAACUUUUGUUCCUUAUAAAAUUUGCUACAACUUUGCUUUAGAAAGUUUUGACAUGCAAACAUUCUAUGAAGCACUUUUUAAAAUCCUAAGCAAGAGGUUUAUGAGCCCCCUAAGUGAAACCAUGACUUAGAAGCAUAAUGAGAGGAUAUGAUCAACAUGAACAUUGUUCCAAAGGUUGAGUUAAGCAAAGUUAACCCACUUACCAAGGUCGAGAACACAUACAAGGGCAUUUCAUACUCAAACACAAGCAUAUAAAGCAUAAAUAAACAAGUUAAGCAACAUCAACACAUAAAAUGACAUGUCCCAAGGUAAAUGAUGAUCAUGGUAUGCUUAGGAAGAUGAUUAUGCUCAUGUCAUGCAUUUGAAAGGAUGGAACCAUAAGACUGGGGUGUUACAUGCCAUUCGUCUUUGCCUUUUCCCAUUCUCACUAUUGAGAAAAGAGAAGCAAUGGUUCUACGCCAGCAAGAGUGAAGUCACCACCUAGGAGAGUGCGCCAAUACAUUUCUCAAGAAGUUCUUGCCAAUGGGCAAAACUAGCGCCCUUUGUGGAAAGAUUUUUAGCUUCCAAUAGCAAGCUGAUGAGACAAUUCCCAAAGCAUGGGAACAUCUCCAGGAGUACAUUUGCGCCUGUCCUGAUCAUGGGAUAGAGGAAUGGCUCCUCAUUCAAGGUUUCUACCAUGGUCUGACUGGUUUGGUCUGAAGUCACCUUGAUGCCAUUGUUGGAGGAGCAUUUUUGCAACACAAUGUCCAGGAUGCCAGGGACCUUAUAAAGAAGAUGGUCACAAACCAAGGAUAGAAUGAGGAACGUCUCUAGCCCAAGAAGAGAGGUGUCCAUUCCCUCAAUGAGGUGGACAUUCUCUCUGCUGAAAUGGAACUCUUGAUGAAAAAGAUGGAAGAAGGUUCCAAGAAGGAACAAGAGGCCAUUCAACCUUACGUAACCACAUGAGCCGUUGAAGUCAAUUUGUGGUGCAAGGGGUGUGUGUGGAGGAGAUGAUCAUUCAGGAAAUAAUUGUCCCAAAAUGAAGGAAGAGGUGAGCUUCAUCAUCAUCAUCAACAACAAUAGGUACUAGCCCCAACAAUAGCAACAAGCAUGGAACUCGUGCCCCUUUUACCAAGUAGACCAAGGUAACGGUUAUAAUCAUAAUUUCAUUAAUUCUUUUAGUAACAACCUUCUUUAAGAGAUCUUGUAUUAGGUCAAUCUAGAAUAAAUGAUAGUAUUAACAAGAAAAUGAUGGCUAAUGAUAAGAUUCUUAAAAAUCUAAGUGAGAAAAUGGAUAGCUUUACUUUUGCUAUGAAAAAUAAAUUGAGCUUCAAUAAAAUGUUAGAAACACAAUUAGCUCAGUUAGUAGUAGCUGUCCCAUCCUUCGAGUAGGGUAAGAUCCUAGGGAAACCUAAGGAUUCAAUUAAAGGUGUUAAAUUAGUAACCAUGAGGUUCGGUAAGCCUCUGGUGUGGUCCAACUACAGUUAUCUCCUUGAUCCACUAUUCAUGUCAAGAAGGAUGAUCCAGGCCACCCAACCAUCACCUGUGAGGCUGGACCACAAAUCUUCCACAACAUCUUUUGUGACCUUGAAUCGGGUGUCAACAUCAUGGCCUAGGUAACCUAUGAAAAUUUACUAGGGGGCCUUUGCACCCCACAUUUGUUCCUUUGCAGAUGGACAAUCAAAUUCCCUAAGGGACUGGCAAGGGAUAUACUAGUCAAGAUUCAAGAUGAAUAUGUCCCUGCCGAUUUCGUCAUACUGGACAUGGGGGCUAUUGACGGUAAUUAUAGCAUCAAAAUGCACAUCCAAAACACCAUUAACAGGCCCUCAGUUUCAAGGAAGAUUAAACAUUCAUGAACACAUGUUAUCAUGUUAUCAAUAACUAGUUCCACUUGUACUCUUAGCUUGUGAUUUGUAGGUAGCAUGAAAUGGCACAAAAAGCAACCAAGAUGGGCCCACAUGGGGGAUCGACCGAUCCCCCUAUGCUACCUCCUCAAGGUGCCACGUAGGCAUGAUCCAAGGCAACCCCCUAGAAGCAAUUCUUAGCCUUUGGAUCAGAGUGUGCUUUCUCUCAACAGCUAAAAUCAAGAGAACACGAAUUCAUGGGUCCACAUGUCAGAAGAACCGGCAUGAAAAAGCACAACAAGAUGGAGAACCAGACUCUAUGACAAGUGGGGACACCAGUCAACUGACCUAGGCUAGCCCCACCUAUCAUAGGGGGAUCGGCUAAUCCCCCCUGGUGGCUAGCCGAGGUCAGUUUGUUCCCACCGACUUCCCCACAUUUCACACAUGCUGAAAAGAUGCUAGCCAUUGGAUUUGAGGUGGUUCCAAGGUCGGUUGCAUCCAAGGGCUAUCAAGCAAUAUCACACGGAUCGCUGACAUGGUGCUGGAGUAGCCCCUACUCCACCUCCCUCUAUAAAUAGCUACUGGAUCCUCACUUGUAAAUCAUCUCUUCUUGCAUCUUCAUACUCAUAAGCUUGAGAGAUCAAGUAGUUGUUAGCUAGUAGUGGGAGUUAGAGUUGAGUUGAGCAAGCUCGGGGUCUCCAGAGUCGCCUUCUGGAGAGUCUGGUAUUGUUCUUGUAUCUUUCCUUUAGUACUUUAUUUUAAUAUAUUAGUCUUUCUUUACUUUGCUUAGUAUUACUUUCAGUACUACUUUGUCCAAGUCUCUUUAUAGUCUUGUAGUGUGCUAAGUCUUAGUAGCAUAGUUGUUAUAGUGAAUUGGUCCCUGUAACCACUCCUUGUGUGUAGAUUAGUGUCCUAAGUUAAUCUUGGAGCUCGAGCUAAUUUGAUCGUUAGUGAGAGUUGUAAGAGUAAGUGUGAACGUGGUGUUCAUACUUAGUCUUAUCAUUGGUAGCCACUAGUCUUUACAGAAGGUCCGUGGGUGCACUGGCCUGAAGUGACAGUUCAGGCUCAGCAUUAGGAUUCCCACCACGUCGAGGCUAGUUUCUAAGUGCAGGACGUACAUAAGUUUGGUCUUGCUUGAGCAGGAGUUCUCUCACCUUCUCUUUCAUUUCCUCCCCUCACACAAGUAGUAAGGGUCAGUUUAUCUAUCCACCCUAUUAUUAGGAUCAAGUCCACCAGAGUUAUGUUAGCAUCAUAGGAGUCCUAUACUCACUCGUUGUCCUCCCACCUAGCUAUCACUACUAGUUACCUUAGAUUAGGAUUUAAGCUUUACAUUGAUUAUCAUUUAUUCUAUCUAUCAUUUACCCCAUAGUCCACUAGUUUGUCCUAGGCCAUAGUAAACAUGAGGAUAUCUCCUCUCUCUUAUUACACAUCCUAGCUUGCUUUCCCUUGGGAAAAUAUAAAUUACGAUACCCUAGAAUACUCCCGGGUGAAGUGCAACAUUGGUACAUUCUGUGCGCUUGCGGAAUAAUCCACUAGUCUAGAAUUAUCACACACCUGGCAUCUCUAGUGACAUUGCUAUUCUAGCGGUGCUGCUAAGAUUUGACAACAAGCAUUUCUGGCGCCGUUGCCGGGGAAAGCAUCAGUCUAGGAGUUUUUAAUUAGAGAGAAUCUAGAGUUUACUAUGGUCUUAGAUAUCAACUAGUGUUAGGGACUAACCCCUCACUUGUCUUGUUUCUUGUUAUCAUUAAAAUUUAGACAGUGUGUGAACAGUUUCCAACUGCCAUCAAACUUCAUUGAAGAUCCUGAGUAGUUGUUGAGGAGAUGAAAGGUCCAAAUGGCUAGAGGGGGGGUGAAUAGCCUAUUUAAAUUUUCUACAAACUUCAACUAGACAAGUUGAUUAGUAAAACAAAUGGCGAAGCAAAUCUAGCACUAGCUCAACUAAGCUAUGCAAGCCACCUAUACAAACUAGUACAAGGCUAAACACUAAAGCACAACAACAAGAGAAGGCUAGUUACACUCCUAAACAAGAAGACUAAACUAAACAAGCUAAACAACUAGCAAGGUAUACAAGAAAGUAAGGAGUGGAGAGCGAUUGUUAUACCAACGUUGUAGAGUAGAGAUAUAUCCAAUCAAUCACUCACAAUCACAAGAGAAUCCUCGGCAAGAGAUGACACAAGAUUUUUUACCGAGGUUCACUUGCUUCCCGGCAAGCUAGCCCUCGUUGUGGCGAUACACCCACUUGAUGGAUCACGAGCUAAUUGGCAAUCCAAAGCCAAACCCUCAGCGGGUGCCGCACAUCCACUCACAAGAUGGGGAUCCUCCAAGCCACGAGCAAUCCACUAGAGUAGCCAAUUGCGAUCUCCCGCGGGGAAGGCUCAAGAACCCCUCACAAAUCACUUGGUGAGGCUCGAAACAAUCUCCAAUCACGAGCUCAACACCACCGCUGCUCCAAGCCGCCUAGGGCGUCGGGAAACAACCAAGAGUAACAAGAAGUCUGCAGCAAACUCAAGAAUCAAGUGCCACUAAAUGCAACUCUCAAAGCAAUGCGCUUGAAUCUCACUCAAUCUCACUAGGAUGAGCAAUCAAGCAAGGAGAUGAGUGGGUGAAGUGUUCUCUAGCUCAAAGUAUGUCUCAUGUAAUCAAAUGUGCAAGAGUGAGCCUCCCAAAGCCGGCCACCCUCAAAGUAUAAGCCCCUCAAAGAAACUAGCCGUUGGCUGUUUUCACUGGGCUGAAAACGGGGGAACCGGACGCUACUAAGUAAGCACCGGACGCUUGACUCCCUGCGUCCGGUGCACUGGAGUUGGCCACGUGUCCGUCCUGAAUCUCACGUGUCAGAUCCUAACGGUCACCUGCGGAUCACCAGACGCUCUGCAGGUCCACACCGGACGCGUCCGGUGCACACCGGACUCAUGCGCAGAGAGUUCCGCAAACCUGCGGGUCACCAGACGCUAAGCACCGGUAGCGUCCGGUGCUCACCGGACCCAUGCGCAGAGAAGGUCGCAAAACACCCGCACACCGGACGCUAACCACCGGACGCUUUCAGAGUGCGUCCGGUGCUCAACCCUAGCAGGGUCAAGCACACCGGACUCUUAGGCCAGCGUCCGGUGCCUCCGCACUCAGCGCCCGGUGAGUGUUUCUCAUUGAGAAAACACACCCGUGACUUCUCCAAAUUUCCCACCGAACCCAAACCUCUCUCAACCCUAGGAACUCCACCUGCUUUGCAAAUGUGCUAACACCAACAAGUGUCCGCCACCAAAGUGCAUGUGUGUUAGCUUUUCACAAAUAAUUUCCCAAAGGAGUUAAGUUAGCACUUUACUAGAUCCUAAUGCAUAUGCUCAAGAUGUAGACCUAGUAACACUUGAUUCGAGAGAUGACCGUGAUUUCCCCUCUUGAUAGUCGGCUAUCCAUCCUAAACCCGGUCAAUCACUUCUCUACUCAUCUUAGACCGGCAAAAGUAAAACCCUAUGUUUAUACCUUUGCCUUGAUAACUUUGCUCCUCGUCUAUCACCAUGAUCUUCACUUCAUGCUUCAUCCCUUUGUGAUCAUGUGGCCACCUUUCCAUGCCACCAUGCACCUUCAUCACUUGUGUUGCUAUGCCUAACUCAAAUCACUUAAACACAGGCAUUAGCAACUUGGUGUCAUUAAUUACCAAAACCAAACUUGGGCUUUCAAUCUCCCCCUUUUUGGUAAAUGAUGACAACCAUCACAAAGAUAUGAAAAGAAAUCAUAAUGAACUUGAAUUGCUUGUCCAAAGCAUUUUAAUCAUGAGACAAAGUUGGACAAACAUUUCAAUUUUGGUUUUGGUAGUACUAGCCCCCCCUAGAUAUGUGCUUCCAUGAGUUUGGUUCAAGUUUGCACAUAUGCAUGAAUUAGAGUUUUGGGAGAUUUAUUAAUACCAAGAUGAUGCUAAGGUAUAUAGAAUGGACCUUUGAAGCGUGAUACCAAUCGGAGUUGCCAAUAUACCAUCCUUAGUACCAAUGUAGCUAGACAUACAUCAAAAACUCAAGAUACGUCGUGAGAUCACAUUAUAUGUCUAGAUACCACAUAAAAAUAAAACAACUAUGCUAGAAUUCAAAGCAUCAUUCAAGUUUUAUAUCUAGCAAGCACCAAUCAAACAAGAGUAGUAUAUUUAUGUGCUCGUACACCUCAUUAUGUUAGUGCACAUACAAAUGCAACAAAUGGUUCAUGAGCUUGCAACACCUCAUUAUUUUAGUGCACAUACAAAUGCAAUGCAACACCUCAUUAUGUUAGUGCACAUACAAAUGCAACAAAUGGUUCAUGAGCUUGCUCCCCCUAUUUGUGUGCUCAAGUUUUAAUUUAAUUUUCCAAAAGUUAUCUCUCCCCCUUAAGCACUUUUCUCCCCCUUUAUGACUUUAUCUUUGUUUCUCUCCCCCUUUGUCAUCAAUGACCAUAAAGGUUCAAAUUUUAGUGAAAAUUAAGUCAAUCAAUGUGAGGGUCAAAUUGUGGUUCAAUCUAGAUCACUUGCCUAAGACAUGUAAUUCGGUUUGAUCCAAGGACAAGCUUUUUCACACCUCAUCAAGUAUAAGGGUUAUCUUGACCAUGUUGAAUUACACAUCAUAAGCUCAUAUUCUAGAUCCAACACUAGGCUUACAAGCUCACAAACAUGCCAUAUGCUACCACUGGAUCAAUCAAUCAUAGAAACAAUAGUGGUACCAUACAUACAUCAAAUUCUUUUGAUUUUCAUGAAUGAGCCUAUUGUCAUGCAAAUAUGUCAAAAUGUUCUAAUCAUGUCCUUAGUAAAGUAUGAAUGCUAUGUCAACCAACUUUACCUUGCAUUGUUGGAGGAGAGGCAUGUCAUAUAUAAAUGUAGGGGUGCACUCAUCUCAAGUUGGAGAAGUCAAGUAUGUUCAAUUCAUUCCUUAACUUGCAAAAUCUCUUCUCAUGAAGUGGCUUUGUGAAGAUGUCGGCUAGUUGAUCUUCGGUGCCAAUGCUUUCAAUGCUAAUAUCACCUUUUUGUUGAUGGUCUCUUAUGAAAUGGUGCCUUAUGUCAAUGUGCUUGGUUCUUGAAUGUUGAACCGGAUUUUGUGUCAUCUUGAUUGCACCCUCAUUGUCACAUAGCAAAGGCACAUUCUUGAAUUUGAUUCCAAAGUCAUUCAAGGUAGCUUUCAUCCAAAGCAAUUGUGCAUAACAACUACCGACACUAAUGUAUUCGGCCUCGGCGGUUGAUAGUGCAACACUAUUUUGUUUCUUUGAUGACCAUAAAACUAGAGACCUUCCUAGCAAUUGACAAGUGCCACUUGUGCUCAUUCUAUCAAUCUUGCAUCCACCAUAAUCGGAGUCUGAAUAUCCAAUCAACUCAAAGUUAGACCCCUUGGGAUACCAUAAUCCAACAUCAUGAGUGCCCUUGAGAUACCUUAAUAUUCUUUUGGUUGCCUUCAAGUGACUCUCUGUUGGGUAUUUUAAAUGCAAACAGAAAAAUUCUACAAGCGCACGGAUACCGAUGUAGCCUUCACCCGAGAGUAUUCCAGAGUAUCGAUUUUCCACAGGGAACGUGAGUGUACUAAUUAAGAAUCAAGAUCGCCCAAGGAUAACUAUAUAAUUAUUUUUGGUGGGAAGAGAGGAAGUUUCCUGAGAGUUCUCUAGUUGAUCUAAGAAUCAAGAAUUACUUCAAGAUUAUCUAUUUCGGGACAUCAGAACACUAACCACAGAAAGAGAUGAGAAGGGGGCUAGGAAGCUCCGACUACGGUCCUACAAACACCGAUCCGAACGUGGUGGAAUACGUCGACCGUUAGGGCUGUCACUACCCUAGGGCUACCACAACAAUCCGCAGGAUUGGGUGCAAUUCCAGGUAAUUGCAAGACUAAACACCACGUCUAAUCUAUUAAUUACUACUCUAAUGUUUCAAAGAUUAGAGCACUUGAUGCAAGCGGGAAUCCAAUAAAUAACUUGAAUGUAAAUAAAAGUAAUUAGAGAACUCAGGAAUUAUGAAUUGAAGAACCUGGAGAAUGAUGAACAACGAACCAGAUGCUGCAAAAGUAUAAUGUUGAGGAAGAUCCGACAGAUCCGGCUCCUCCUCCGCUCUCCUCUUCUCUCUCCCUAUUUUCUAGAUUACAACUAGAACUAACUAGAACUAGAACUAGAGGAACUAGAACUAGAACUAGAUGAACUAGAACUAGAUCUAGAUGAACUAGAGGUAGAACUAGAAGAACUAGAGGGAUCCUCUCUACUUGGAUGAAGAAUUGAAACCCUAGCUUUGAUUCUGUAGAAGAGGUAUGAUCUCCAGGGGCUAGGGGGCCUUGCUUAUAUAGUCUUUUCAAAUGAAUCUGGGCCAUCGGAUCAAACCGACAUUGAUCAUGUGGUUUUCCUUGAAGUAUUAGGUCGGUGGAGCAUGAUCCCCGAACUUCACCCUGAUUGGUCCAGGGGGAAGGGCGGGCGCCCAGUGCCCGGCUCCGUCACGUCUCCCGUUCGCUCCCGUGGCUUCUGGACUCUUCUAGAAGAUAGAUAAUUGUGCGGUACGUUAAUAUCUCUAUGUAAACCCGACGUGUGGGCCUUUCUUCCGUAUUUCCUGAUAACCCCCUGCAGAAAUAGACAAACACCAAAACUUGUGGAAUUCUGUCAGAUAAAACCCUAAGUCUAGGUGUUGGUUGCAUUUGGAUCCUUUUCCAUGAUUAAUUGAUGGUUAAAUAUGAGCAUUGAGGACCCUCAACAAGCUCCCCCAAGCUUAACCUUUGCUCGUCCCUGAGCAAAGAUGAACUCAAGAGUUUCUGAAGUGGUUUCAUGCCUUAAAGAUACACAUGCGUUGAAACAAGAUCUCAUCUCUGGGUUAGGGUAAACUGUUAAGAUUUAAACUUACUCAUUUUACCUUCCACCAUGGGGCUUGCAACCGUCACCUGUGUCUUGAGCAGUUAAAAGAUAGAACGGUCUAGUCAAGCACCAUGUCUCUUAUUCUUGAUCAGCUAUAGCUCUGGAGUUUUUGUAGAUUUUCAAAUAAAACUUAGAGAUUCCUUGUAUGACUCUCUCUAGUCUCUUUUUUGUAGUAUUUCUGGAUCCUUACCUAGGCAGUAUUGGUAUAUGCCUUCUCUCAAAGUAUGUGGUAUUUGUGGUAUAAGGCAUAGUGGCAUUGCCUUCUCUCUCACCCUACUCUAAUAAGGCUUUUGAUAUUUGGAGCUCAUAGGUGGGAGACAGCUAAUACAUACUUACAAGACAUUUAUUGCAUAGUCAAACCAUGGAUCUAGAAAAACAAGUCAAUAAGUCAAAUCAAGAUGUGCAUGUGUGGCGAAUGAAUGGUGUAUGGUGAUGAUGGUGAUAACAAUGGUGAAAGUCUAAUUCUACUUUUGCUCUUUUGAGGGGAUUCAUACCUUUCUUGCUCUUUUGAAACUUUUUGAGGAGAAUGAGAUGCUCUAUAUUUUAUCUUUUUUUUCUUUUCUCUCAGGUGGGUAUCUUGUACCCCUAAUUCUACUGUCGGACACUUGUCCAUUUUUACCUCUCGUCUCACUUUUUCUUUCUUUCGAGGUUCCGGGCACUUGCCCCUUUUUAUUUCCUCGUAUACUUUUUUUAGAGCACUCAUCUCAUGAGAUAAGAUAGCAAGUGGUAGUAACAAGAUAACUUGAGCAGUUAUUUCACAGGGGAAAAACAGAAAUGUUUUUGGCUAUUCUCUCUCGGAUUAGGAGUAGAAUAUUUUUAGGUGGUUCUGGUGAUGGAAAUGGGUGGAUAUAUGUGGAUGCGUACUUCCGGAGUAGAAGCAGCAUGCACUGUUCGCCUAAACGGCCGUUUAGACCGUUUAAACGCCGUGUAAACGCUACACAAUGAUACACCGUUUCAGUUUAAUCAUCUGUUUAGUCCGUUUAAUUGACCGUUUAGCCCGUUUAAUGGACUGUUUAGCCCGAAUAAUGGCUAAACGGCAGGUGACCGACUGUUUACCGUUUAGCGUUUAGGAAAACAUUGGCAGCAUGUAUGAGUGAACGUGCAAGUGAAUCUUGAUUUAACCGCAUGACAAGCUCCUAAGGGUCUACACAGCUCGACCACACUCAAUGCUCAUAAGUAGUAAAGUAAAUGUGUGGUUCAUAGUCUAGCAAGCAUGUAUAUAUUGCUGUGGUAGGAAUUUAAACUCUCAUCAUACAGGAACUCAUCAUGCAACAUUUUAAAGAUUUUCAAAGAUAAAAUUCUCCAGAAUUCUAGCAUCUCCAGGAACAGAUAAACAGCAGCUCAACCUUCCCAUAUCGUAUCCGUUAACUACUUAGACUUUAGAUCAAGUACUCUCCCCACAAGUUCAGGUUUAGAGCAAAUCUUAAUUAAUAACAGUCAUGCCCAAACUUGAGAGAGAUUUCAAUUUUAAAAACUAGUCAUGGCAGAGCAACUAUUCAUCAUUUCCAUGUGAGAGCUUAUCAUGAGGUGUCAUAGCAGACUUUAUUUAUUUAUUUAUUUAUUUAUUUAGCAAACUAAGCAAAGAUAUAUAUAAGCACAAAAUCUUUAUUUGGGUUUCUAUGAUUAUGCAUCAUUUUAUUAUUAGAGUAAAGUAUAAACGUGAGUAGAAUACUUAGCUGGAUAAAUGGGGGUGCUCUCCCCCAAGCUGGAUUUUGACGUAGUUUCUUCUAAUGUAGCUAGCAAGUGGUGGAGGUGUAUUUGAAUGUCAGCAGCACCCUGACAGCGAUUAGGACGUCCUCCGUCUGCUAGUCUUCUUUGAUCCUUGAAUUCUGUGGAGCUCAAAUAGACAACAAAGCUUUG